AGGUCUCAAUCAGCGUGGUCUUAAUAGACCCGAACAUCUCUGGUAUCUCUGCCCUGAUGGCCGCAGCCACCUCCUCAUGGAUGAUCCGGCGGAUCUCCUCAUCACUGGUCUCACUGCUCUCAGGCAUCAAACGUGUCCUCACCAUGAUCUACCUCUGAAAUACAACAUACGAUAAAUUAGAAUCCAUUCGAGCAUACUCACACUCGACAACUCAUUCCUCCUUGAUCCUUGGUAUUCCAAAGAUUCUUACUUGGGCUGUACACCGCUCCGGUGCUUUCAGUAGUACGGGCCCAAUACUACUGUCCGCACCGUAUCAGAAUACACCCCAAGUCCUCCUCUUCGGAUCCCAAAUUCCAAGUACUCUAUCAUGCAUAGACCACUCUCUAAUAGAUCUCUCAUAAGCCCCUCGCUGCUACCUACUCACUCUCAAGCAUCUCAUAGCAGCUCACCUCUUCCUAGGCUAAGGCAUCACAAAUCAGGCCACUCUAGUCCUAAUAGGAAUACCUAGCCUACUCUAGCAUGCGAAUACAUCAUAUCAAUAUCAAUAUCACAUAACAUGAGGGUAUUUUGGGAAAUCACCGUUCGGGCGCGGACUGAUCGUACACACAACUCUGCUCUGCGUUUUUCCAAAAAUCUUUUACUCUUUUUGAAAAUACUUCUCAAAUCCUCAGUUUGAGUUCAAAUACGCCCGAAGGUGUACUCGAAUCCCUCAAACCAAGGCUCUGAUACCAACUUGUAACACCGUGAAUUUCAAAAUAAUUUUUCGCAAAUUAUAAAAACAUUUCUCAUUUAAUUUUCAUAAAAACAUUAAGUUUAAAUCCCAAUUCACAUCAUACAAAAUCCCAAGAUCAUAUAUAUAUCAAAAAUCCCAUGCGUGUGUACAGAUCAAGCCGGCGCCUUCCCACGGUCAUCGCUAGUACCUAAAACAACAACACUAACACUGUAAGCACAAAGCUUAGUGAGUUCCCCAAAAUACCACAUAAACAUAUAUUAGCCACUCGAGGCUAUAACUCUAUGGGUCCGUGCACCCAAGCUCUGUGAACCCUCAGGUUCUAACUCUGGGAACCUUCCGGUUCCAACUCUAUAAACAUGCACAACAUAAAUCACAUAGACAUCAUGCAGUACAACACAUAGCAUACACAUAACAUACACAUACUCUGACACAUAACUCUGAUUACCUACUCAAGGUAAAGUAUAGUGAGAAGACUCACCUCGUGUAUCUUGAUAACUCGCGAAUCCUGAAAAUCACUCGUGCUCGAUCCUCCAAGCUAUAAUCCUCCUAUAACAUCAUAUAUCUCUUAAUUAACACUUUUACCACUAAGGCUGACUGCCCCUAUCAAGUCAGCACUAGUCAACUCUGGUCAACGGUCAACAGUCAACUUUGACCGGACUCGGCGAGUGCACUAGGGCGACUCGUCGAGUCUAUACGUAUUCACCAACUCUCUAGGAUUAUCUUUUGACACGUCGAGUACUCCCCUAACUCGACGGGUUCCACCUGGCAUGAAUCGCGGGGCCACCACGACUCGACUCGCCGAGUCUCAAGAACAACUCGGCGAGUCCCAGCUCGACUCAGUCCAACUGUCAACCCUCUCUAACUCUCCCUGACUCACUGAGUCGACCCUUAACUCGGCAAGACCACUCGCUGAGUGGUUAAGGACAAUCUUCAUGCUACUCGCCGAGUCUGUUCUUCAGACUCGGCGAGUCCAUGCCAUGCAUCAACUCAAACUAGCUUCUGAGGUCAGAUCCGCACCAUCCACUCAUAGAUCUGGCCCUCCUAAGCUUAUUCAUCACGUAAAGUUCGUAUCUUGGUUACCAUACAACAUCUACAAGGCUCUUUUUGGAGAAAUAACCUCUAAAAUGGCAACCCUAGCCUCCAACCCAAAAAGGGGCAUGACUUUAGGGACUCUCUGGACCUACUAAGGUCCAGAUCUAAGCACCAUAUCCCCAUGGGACCUCUCACACUUCCAAUACAAAGCAAAUAUGGCAUGAAGAAACCCUAUAUUUGACCAUAUCAACAAAAAUACGGAAAUAAGCUCAGAAUGAUACCUCAAGAAGCCUCCUCAGAUGAAAUGAAAGAAGAUCCCAGCUCCCCAACUCUUCUAGCUUGACUUUCCUCUUCCUUUCUUGCAAAAACACACAAAUUUGGUGAACAAUAGCCUCUUAUCUCACUCACACGAAUCCCUCAGCUGCUCAGGUGCUCUCAGGAUCCAGGUAGCCUCAAUGAAGGGCCAUAAGGUCCUUUAAAUAGGGCUUAGGACCGGGAAAUUAGGGUUUCAUUAAACAGCAAGGACUCGCCGAGUCCGGGCGCGAACCCGCGUCCUGAACCACGAUCCUACUCGGCGAGUUUGAGCUCCAACUCGCCAAGUCCCCUCACAAAACUCCAAAAAUAUAAGCAUAAAAGAUACCUGGAAAUCCGGGCUAUUACAUGGGCCUUCUGGAGAGCCCAUUUAUUAUUGGGCCUUGGUAAGCCCAAUGGGUUUUAGGUCAUUGAUGGGCUGGUUAGUGGACUACCUUUAGACCUAAUGAGCAAGAGUUGAGAAUUAGUUCCUAAUUGGAAUAAUUGUGGGUUUGGCACAGAGUUAGAGGUCGGUGCGUGACAGCAACGUUUAUAGGGACUGUUCAUCAUCCGAGGUGAGUCUUCUCACUAUACUUUACCUAGAGUGGUAAUUAUGUGUGACCAGAGGGUCUUAUGUGCUUGCCUGAGUUAUGCAUUUUAUGUGUGAUAUGUGUUGUGUGCUAUAUUAUGUGAUAUCUAGACCGGACCGGAGGGUCCAACGAACUGUGCUAUAUUAUGACCGGACUGGGGGGGUCCAAAAAACUAUGAGACCAGAGGGUCCUCACUUAGACCGGACCGGAGGGUCCAACAAGUACUGAAACUGGAGGGUUCUCACCCAGACCGGACCAGAGGGUCCAACGAGCCAUGGGACUGGAGGGUCCCACUGAGACACAUCGGACCGGAGGGUCCUACGGAGUUACAACCUCGAGUGGCUAAUAUGUGUAUGUGGUAUUUGAGGAACUCACUAAGCUUCGUGCUUAUCGUGUUAUGUGUUAUGUGUUUCAGGUUCUUAUUAGGAUCGCGGGAAGGCGGCGACUCGAUUGUACAAACAAGAGAAAAGAGUCAUGAAUGAGGAUCCUGGAUUUUGAUAAUUACUUUUGAAAAAUAUUUUGAAAUAUGUUAUGACAUCGACACUUAAGAUUUUGAGAAUUAUUAUAUGUGAUGUUGGUAAUUUAAAAUCGAAAAUGUUGUUUGAAAAUUUACGGUGUUACACCAUUCAUGGAUGCAAGCAUUUUGGGGUUAGGACUUCAGAUCUGGAAUCUUGGAGGGACUCCAUGGCAUAAAGGUGCCAACUUUAUGGCCAUGUGAGUCCCAUGUAACUUGUGAACCUCAUUUUAAGGCAUUUUGAGCUAGAUAACCCAUGCAUGAAUGUAAAGUUUGUAACUUUACGUGUUAUAUCGACCCUAGGAGGCAAGAUCUACGUUUUGGAUGCAUUUAUCCCUACUAAAAUCGAUUGUAUGGAUUUAGACUUUGGGGAACUCGACGAGUCGUUCUUAGGAUUCGACGAAGUGGGUCGUGGUUCUCCAACCUUUACUGUUAUUGAGCAAACUUGUUGAGUAUAGAAGAUGACUCAGCAAGUUGGACAUGUUUAAGGACUAGAAGAUCAAAGAACUCGACGAGUCCAAGGAUGGACUCGGCGAGUUGAUGAGAAAAUGUCCCGACUUGUAUGAAGGAGAACUCGACGAGUCCAAGGAAGGACUCGGCGAGUUCAAACAGAAAGUCCCGAUUCUGUCGUAAGGAGAAACUCGAUGAGUUAUAGGGUAACGCGAUGAGUUAGAUCAUGAGUACGAGAUUCUAUGAAUUAUGGGACUCGAUGAGUUGACGAACCAACUCGGCGAGUCGAGUCAACCAGAAUGUUGACUUGGACCACAAGGUUGACUUUGACCAGGAUGUUGACCUUUGACUUGACCAUUAACUAGAGUUGAUGCUUAAAAGGGUUAUAAGUUUGAAAGAGUAAUUUAAAGAGAUUUUAUGUGUAGGAUUUUGAGGAGAGUUGAUCCCAACACCGAGGACAGUUUAGUUACUACACAACAUUGAGGUGAGUUACCUUCUAAUAGAAGUGGGUCUAAGGCCACAAUGCCGACCCACUAGUAGGAGUCGUUUGCUAGAUGAUUGUGUAUGACACUAUCUGUUAGGUUUAUGUGCUAGUAUGGUAUGACGUUAUGUGAUAGUGUUAGUAAGGGGGGAUAGUCCUUGUAUCAGUCGAAAGGACCAUAGAGGUAGGUCGGGCACCCCAGUAUGCCUGACAGUAUGAUUACGUUAUGUUAUUAUGUGAAAGUGGUAUAGGUGAAAUAUUCCCCUUAACCGAUUGAGAUAGGCCGGAGGGGUAGGUCGGGCACCCGAGUAUGUCUGACAGGCGUAGGUUAGGCACCUCGGUAUGCCUAGCAGGGGUAGAUUGAGCACCCCAGUAUGCUCAGCAGGGUAGGUCAGACACCCAGAUAUGCCUGACAGUAUAUUUAUAGUAUGGUAUUUGGUAUGAUGGGGGAACUCACUAAGCUCUGUGCUUACGGUUUUCAAUUUUUGUUUCAAGUCCUUCUUCUUCGAAAGGAAAGGAGCCGACACGGUAGCAGAGCAUCACACACACAAUUUUCCGCACAUGAGAUUCUUGGGAUUUGUACUUUGACACUAUUACUAUUGAUGAUAUGGUUUUGAGACAUGUGAUCUAUGGUUUUUAUGAAAUAAAAUAACUUGGUGAUGUUUUCUAUAAAUUGUUUUAUGAAUCGUUCCAUUAAAAAUAAAUUUUUUUGCCUUAAAUUUUGGGAUGUUACAGAUGAUGUUGAUAGAGGAGACGAUAAUGAAACAACCACCAGCCACCAGGAGAAUGUGAGUUUUCAUAUUUUCAAUUAAGAUCUGACCACAAACAAUUUCUUUGGCUUCAUAUCUUAGAGUUUGCUCUAAUGAAGUCGGCUACCAGAAAAGUUUGAUGAAACAUAGACCACAAACCUAGAAGAAGGUGGAGAUAAAGGAGAUCAGGGAGGAGGUGGUUGUGGUGGAUCCUCACCAAAACAUCAUAGAUCUACAGUAGAAAAAACAUAGAUCUAGAGGCGAAUAUUGUAGAUCAGAGGUGGAAAUCUCAGAUCUGGAACCAGUUGGAGCUUGUACGAUUGGCGAGGGUAGUUCACUGGUGAUAGGAGAUCGCGACAGUACACUGAAGAUACAUUGAUGACCAUAGUUCACCGAUCGUAGGAGAUGGCGACAUUACACUAGAGAUGCAUUAGAGAAGAGAUAAUGGUCGUUCAAGAUUUGAAAUCUUGUCGUCGGCGGUGAUGAUGGUGGUGAGGUCUUUGUCGGCGGUGGUGACUGUGGUUGUAUUCAUCAGAAGUGGUUGAAGAAGAUGAGAAGAUUUUUUUUUUGUUUUUUAUUUUUGACUAACCAUGAAAAGAUAUUAUCUCGUCAAAAGUUAUAGAAUAAGUUUUAGAUAAAGAUCAUUAUGCCUUUAUUGUCUUUUUGCUAUUUAUAAAAAAUUUAAAAAAUCAAAAUAUUAAAAAUAAAUGGUUUCUAACCUUUNCCUAAGCUUAUAUACCCUUAAGGGUAUAUUCACUUUUCCCAUAUAUAUAUAUAUAUAUAUAUAUAUAUAUAUAUAUAUAUAGUUUGUAGUACGUUGUGCAACAAUGAUGGUAUAACGAGAGUAUCAACAUGAAAUUUAGAGCAAUCAAAAGUAAAAACAUAGUACAUAUGAAAGUGCAAAAGGAUGCAAUUUGGCUUUCCUCUUUUUGUCCACCGACACUAAACAGUCCCAACUGCAAAUUAAAGUAAACUAAAGUGACACAUAUUUUUGCUAGAUUGGCACCCAACUAUUAUUAUUUGUAGACAACUCAGCCCUCUUCAAUCAUUGUAAUGUAAGGCAUCUUUUAAAGCUACAUCCAAUCAUCAUAUAGCAAAAAACUAUAUUAACCUAUAGCAAAAAUAAUUACCAAAAUUAAACAAAGAAAUAUAAAUAGAACUUUUGAUGCCAAUUUUUCUUUAAACUUUCAGAAUCCAAUAGCUUGAUCUCUUCCCUUUGCUUUAUGGGUACAAAUCAAUUAUGUUCAAAUUUACAUCUAACAAUAAAAUAUUACAACUUGAACCCUUCCACUUCUCAAAUCUACACUUCCCCACCUCCAUUUCCAUUUAUCUUUCUUCUUAUCAUAUGUGGUAUGUAUACAUAUACGGUAAACUAUGAUACAACAAUAUUGGAUUUCCAUACAAUGGCAUCAAUCUUUUUGAUCGAUUUAAAAGGAAAAUUAUAACUUAAAAAAGUGGCAAAAUGGGAAAAAGAAAAAACAGAAAAGAAGCAGAAAGUUUUUUAAUGGUUGGAGAUCAAGCUGAGUCAUUUGACCCUUUUACCCUUGGUUGUAUGCCGUAAUAACUAACGUACCACUUGACGAAUUUUCUUAACCCGCUCGACAAAUCGGUGGUGGGUUUGUACCCGAAGUCUUUAUACGCUAGGCUCACGUUAGCGUGAGUGAAAGGAACGUCGCCGUUUCGUGGCAUCUUGAUCACAUGCUUCUUGGCCUUCACGUUCAAUAAACUCUCCAAUAUUGACACCAGUUUCCCCACCGUCACCGGUGACGUGUUCCCUAGAUUGUAUAUCCUCAAUUGCGCCGGACCUUUCUUCUUCCCACCCUUUCCGGUGCUUUUCUCCGCCGUAUCAAGAGCCCCUAAGCAUCCCUUCACGAUAUCGUCGAUGUACGUGAAGUCACGCGCCACCUCUUUGUUGUCGUGAGUUUGGUAAACAUUGAUUGGUUUUCCUUGAAGUAUGUCUUUAGUGAAGAAGAAGUAAGCCAUGUCUGGCCUACCCCAAGGCCCAUAAACAGUGAAGAAUCGAAGUCCGGUAAUGGAGAGACCAUAGAUGUGGUUGUAGGUGUGGGCGAUUUCCUCUCCUGCUUUUUUUGUGGCGGCGUAAAGACUGGCCGGUUGGUCGGUCCGAUCAGAUUCCGAGAACGGGUUCUCGGUGUUCAAUCCAUAAACGGAGCUAGAAGAAGCCCAGACAAUCGCCGGCUGUGGAUCUGCGUUUUUCGCGACUUCCAAGAGAUUCACGUAUCCAGCAAUGUUGGAGCUAACGUAAGACUGUGGAUUCUCCAUGGCGUAACGAACACCCGCUUGAGCAGCCAAGUGAAGGACAUGGGUGAAAGGAACAAUGUCAAAAAGCUUCGCCAACAACUCGCCGUCGUUCAGAUCUCCUUCAACGAUGAAGAUCUCGUGUUGCUUUAAGACCUUCUGUCUAGCGCGUUUCAACGACGGAUCAUAGUAAGUAUUGAAAUUAUCCAAACCCAGAACACCAUCACCGCGUUUCUUCAAAGCAAGAGAGCAGUGUGUGCCAACAAAACCUCCGGCGCCGGUGACAAGCACAGAAAACCCAUUUGGACGACGAGGGGUGGAAGAACGCCUCACCUCCUUCUCCCAUGACGCACCACUACCGUAAAACGCGGAGGAAAGAAGGUGGGAUGUGGUGUGAACAUGGUGGCCGGCGGGGGUAGGGUUAUCGGAAAGCGGAGGGUAGUUAAAGGUAAAGAAAAAGAUCAAGACUAAAGCAACCAAAAGGGUAACACGAAAAAGAAGCUUGGAGGAUGCAGCUAAGAGCUUGGUGCUAUUGACUCUUCUUAUGUAGCUGUUGUAGCGUUCAAGUUUUGUUGUUUUACUGGUGUCCGGCGGCGACGCCAUUGAUGAUGAACAGAGCUUAUUAUCAAAGAAUGGGGAUGAUAAUUGGAGCCCUGGAAGUGAAGAGUGUUGGAGGGAAGGAUAUAAAGGAGUGGGGGAGAUGGAGGGGGUGGGGCCUGUUAAGUGUUGUGUUCCGGUGGCCACUUGCUUUAUAAAUUACGACAUGCUUUUCACUCGCUUACAGGUGGAAAGCCUUUAAGAAAGAAAUAAAACUAUAUGAUAUCUGUCUAUCUGUAUCUACAUUUAUGUUUAUAUUAUUCACUAAAUAUAUAGACAUAAAAUAAACCACGCCGAAUGAUUGUGAAGUAUAUGAUAAUCAAUAACUAUUGCUAUUUUGUGAGACAAAUGUAAAAACUAAUAGUAUUUUUCAUUGUUUCAACAUAUAUCUAUCAUCAUAAAAUACUUAUAAGUUUCUUUCAAGCUUAAGAUAUUAUUAAAACGGUAUAAUGUAUGUAUAGAUACAUAAUUGCGUGACAUUGACACUAUAAAAUUAUUUGAUUUCCAUCAUGUUUCCAACCUAAAUAUGUGUCAAGGAGUGUAUAAAGUGCGAGAACAUAUGAUAUUUAUAUAACAUAUAUUUGACUUUAAGAUUCGGGAAGUAAGUUCUUGAAUUCCGUUCUAUAAUAAAGAUAUACAAGAUUAAUUCUAUUGACCACUAGCAUAUACUAGUAUUUCUUGAUUUCUAGAAAGAUCUUAAAUGAGAAAAUCAAGAUCUAAUAGGGUUAAAAAUUGGAGAAUAAAAAGAGGACAAAAAGGGUGACCAAGAAAGCUUAAGGAAGAGGUUACAAGUAAGACGAGAAGACCGUAAAGACGUGGUUAUCGUUUGUUGUGUACAUAUACACAUAUAUAUUCUUAAGAAAGAUUUUAUCAUCAUAUAAUAUAAAAAUAAAUUAGCAAUUUAAUUAUAAUGCAUGCCAAUUGAGAAUCACAAAGAUUAAGAAGAGACAUGAGGUCCUUUUCAUGCGUUGGCUGCAAACUGCCAAUAGAUCAUAGAAAUCACGAAAGGUGGAUAAAUUCGAUGAUAUAAAGGCACAUGACCUCACCGCAAUUCGCAUCUCUCAUUGAUCACACAUGGCCUUGCCAGGAGGAAUUCUAGUGUUGAUGUGUUGAUAUGCACGACUUGCUAGCAGGUUCAAGAAUGCCUUAGUAGCUUGCAUAUGAUGUUGAGCAAUAUGUUUGCGACCACCAAAUCCCACAUGGAUAUUGUAUUCCACAACAAUGGUAUCACAUUUUCCCACUAACUUACAUUUGAUUUAGUUCUCGGUUUCGGUUCUUUUCCUAGGUGACUGGUUUUGAAAAUUAGGUCUUUGUUUUUCAUUUUGUUUACUUUAUAUAUAAGUGACUAGUAUAUGUUGUUACGUAGCCUCCUUGAUACCUGAUAGCGAUUGGGUUAUCACUCUUCUAGUACACAAACAGAAAGACACGCUGCAAAAUAUAAACAAGUGCUACGUUAGAAAAUGAUACAUAAUGAUGAUCCCCGAUAUUGUUCUCCGAUACCUAAGUUAGAUUUCGAUUUGAAGUAUUGCUAAAUUGCUUAUGGUGAGAAAGCUCUACCUUUUUCAUUUGGUGAUGCUUGACUUUUGUAGGCAUUCAAAAGUCUAUCAGUUUUGGCUCUUACCUGGUUUCCUACGUAGUCCAGGUAAGGACAACUAUUUCCAUUGUACUGCUUUAUAUUUUUUUAUGGUUAUCUAAACGUUGUGUUUUUCUGGGGAUAUGUUUGCCUUAUGAUCUUUUUCCUAUGUGUGUUGCUAUUGACAUGUGGUUCAUUCUUGUAUGAUGGAGGUUACUUCUUAUUGUUGAGUUAGGAGCAUGUAGGGUCGGUAUUUACAUAUCUAGCUAACUCAAGUACACAAUUAAGUCCCCCAGUAUGAAGGGUAAAAAUGGAGCCAAAAUUUUUCCGUUUAGACUAUGAUCACUCUUGGUAAACAGACUGUUGUGCAUGACUCAAUGAUAGACUUCAUCAAAUGCGUCCAACCACUGGUUAGUCACAUCAUAAUGGUUGAUUAGAUUGCUUAAUUAAUGUUUAAAUGGUCCUUAUCUUUAUAUAUCAUAUAAUAAGAUUUUGAAAUCUUCCCUAUUUUGUACUUCUUGCCUUUUCAACUUCCUCUUUUGCCAUGGCUUUUCAUAUGUUAUCCAUUUCAUCCAGUGGUGACAGCUUUACGUUAGAUCGGUAUGUUCAUAAGUAUCGGUUAUCUAUUAUGCAUGGUGUUACGUUGCCUUUUCCUUCUUCUUCUUCCAUUCUUGAACCUCUGGCGGGCAAUGUAGGGUUUUACUUGAGACACCUUGUUUCUGGUUUAAGACUUCCUCCUAGAUCCUUUUUCAUAGAAGUACUAUAUUCAUAUGGUGCUCAUCUGAUCCAUUUGUAUCCCAAGGUUGUCUCCAAGGUUAUCACAUUUGAGGUGUUUUGUGUGUCAUCUCAUAUACUUUUGUAUGUAUCGUUGUUUCGAUAUUUCUAGCGUUUGAAGAAAUAUGGUGGCUGGUAUUCUUUUAGGAGCCAUCAUUUCCUUUUGGUUCACGGUCUUCUAGGAACAAACAUUGGAUGGAAACAAAAUUUUUGUUAGGUAGAUUUCAGUAGGGUUUGUCUUCCUAACAUCCUUAGGUCGUGCCAAAUGAAAAUGAAGAAACUCCUUUAGCUCCAAUCUUAUAUAGAUUUUUUUCUUUAUUUUCUCGAUACUACAUUAUAACGUGUUUCUUUCCCAAAGUUGUACUUUUCUUAUUUGGCAUGAUUCCUAUCUGGAAAGCUCAUGAUCAGGUGUGUUAGGUCCGAUUCUGGAUCUAAAACUAUCAAACAGACAUGGAUCAAGAGUAACACAUUAAGAUGAAUGAAUUGAGCUUGCACACGAUUAAACACAAGAAAUCGUCAGGUACAACUCAAGAGUGACCGUAAACUUCUAAAGCAACCAACCCCCAACCAAAAGACCAGCUCCUACACUAUAUAUAUACCCAUCUGGACCGCAAACUGAGUUUGCGGUCGUAAACACGUUUACGGCUGUAAACGUGUUUACGGUAGUAAACACAACAAAGUUCAAGUUAACAUAAAGUGAAAUUACAGACACAAAACAAAACACAUCACAUGCUAAGCCUAGCCCAAACCAUUUACAUGGCCCUUCAAUCUCCCCCUUGGUUUGGAGCAGGCUUGAAUUUAGUCUUUGUCGACAACCAGCACGUCAGACUUAUACAGACAGAUGCCUAGUCCAAACCAACAAAUGUUGACCUAACAGUCUCCCCCUUGGUUUGUGGCUAGCAUAGACUCAGUCUUUCUAAUCAGCAUCACCAAGGUGUGUAUCUAUCGCUUCCAAAUUCUACAAUAAGUUUGUUCUUCAAGUCAGAGUAGCCUGCUGAUAGGGAACCAAGAUUAAGCUGGAGAUCGGAGAUCUGUUUAGACUUCUGAAAGUUUUCUUCUUCAAGCUCGGAAACUCGAAUAUUGAGGUUUCCGAUCAGAACGUCUUUCUCGAUGAUCUUCUGUUUAAGAGUAGUGAUCUCCUCCUUAAGCUCUAAGAUAGAUGGGCCUGCUCCCCCUGAACUUCCUUCACCCUAUUGAUAUUCAUUUGCCACGAGGUAAAUGAUCUGAAUCUUGUUGAGCAAGAAACCUGGCAAGCCUCAAAGAGGCAACAUCAUGCGCAGGUUGUGGAGGAGAAGAACCCCCAGGAGCAGAAGAACUCCCGACUUCAAACGAAGAUCUAACAUUACUUGGUCCUUUUAGGGUCAGUUGAGUUGGUGUAGCAGCUUUGGAGGGUUGUUGGACUGGAGGUGCUUGUUCUUGGAUAAGAUCUCCCUGCCUCUGAUCAAGUCAUCUUGUUUUCACAGGAGGCUGGGAGGUUUGUGUCAGUAUCUGAUCACUCAUCAAAUGGCAGUGAGGUUGGAAUAGCAAAUGGAAGGGGAGGAAUCCUUGAAGUUGUAUCCAUAUCGGUUGAAAGGUAUCGCCCAUCUGAUCAAAAGUUGGAGAUGUCACUUUGAGAACACCACUAACUCCUUUUGUCAAUGAUCAAGCAACAAAUAAUCGCAAUAGAAUAAGAAGAUUAAAAGAAAUCAAGCUUGCACACGUUUGUAUCUGAAAAACGUCAGGUACAACUCGAUGGAACACUCUGUAAACACUAUUGCAUCGAGGUCUGCACUGUUUAACCUUAUACCAUUAUCCGCAGUCUAUAAGCUGAUCUGUGAGACACUGAACAAGCUAUACUUUAACUCAGGAGCGUGGAUGACGUUCUCAAAACUCAGCACCCCAUUUACAAGUAUACUUUAACUCAUUGAGUGAUCUUCCCUCCAUCUCCUCCCAUGAAGGAAACAUAGCCCCCAUUAAAAUUCUGAAUGACGUGCAGUUGGGAGAUGUCUCCUGUCAAUGUGCCUGGAAAAACCGUUGUCGACGUACCAAGGUUUGACGACAUUCCUCCGCAGCUGUUCCUGCACAAUGAGCGGGAUUAUUUAGAUUUGGGUACCCAGGUCAUUACAAGCCUGGGUCCACACUUUCCAACCGUAUACGUGUAACUGCACACAAUUUAAUAGUUUCAAAAGAGUUUAUGGUUGAGGUUAGAUGAAAUGAAUGCGACCGUAAACAGAGUUUACGGUAUGGGAUUUACGGUUUUGGUGUUUAUGGUUCUUGGGUUUACGGUUUUGGUGUUUACGGUUCUUGGGUUUAGGGUUUUGGUGUUUACGGUUCUUGGGUUUACGGUUUUGGUGUUUAUGGUUUCUGAAUGGACAGUAAACAGAGUUUACAGUUGUCAGUAAACUCUCAAUCAGCCUUUAAAACUCAUACUUUUCAGAUGGAAUGUUUCUUCAAAGCUCAGAACGCAAAAUCCAACAAUCAAUCGAUGAAAACAACAGCUUGAACACACAAAAUCUCGAUCGGAUGAGUUUGAUACCAGUUUACUGCUCUGAUACCAAUUGUUAGGUCCGAUUCUGGAUCUAAAACUGAUAAUCAAACAGACAUGGAUCAAGAGUAACACAGUAAGAUGAAUGAAUUGAGCUUGCACACGAUUAAACACAAGAAAUCGUCAGGUACAACUCAAGAGUGACCAUAAAUUUCUAGAGCAACUAACCCCCAACCAAAAGACUAGCUCCUACACUAUAUAUACCCAUCUGGACCGCAAACUGAGUUUGCGGCCGGAAACACGUUUACGGCCGUAAAAGUGUUUACGGUCGUAAACACAACAAAGUUCAAGUUAACAUAAAGUGAAAUUACAGACACAAAACAAAACACAUCACAUGCUAAGCCUAGCCCAAACCAUUUACAUGGCCCUUCAAGGUGUCAAUCUUAUCAGUGAAUCAUCCAGGUAGAUGAACGUUAUUCUUGUUUUUCCUUAAAUUUGUAACUUAACUAGCCAUUAUUUUUUUUAAGGAGUGCUCACCAUUAAUGUUGCUUUUAUUUACUAUGAUUGCAUGUAAUGUUGUAAGGAAGAAUAAAUUCAUGUUCAACUUGUCUUAUUAUGUAUCUGGUGAGAUUGCUCCCCAAGAUAUGGUUAUAGAAUGGGUUAUUUUCAUUAAGACUCUUCAUACAUUGUUUGAUACACCAACCAGGUUGUAAUUGCAUCUCGUCAGGUUCGGGGAGAAUAUCUUUUCUAUGGACCAACUUCUAGUUGGUGUCUACAUUCCCUUGGAUAAUGGGCUUACUCAUAUUCUUUUUUGCCAGGAUGUCGAUGUUGACCUAGCCUUCCUCCUGUUUCUAUUCCGAGCAUCAUUAUGGGUAAGCAUAAAUAGUCAUUCUCUUCUCAACAAUUUGAUGAUUUUUUUGUGUGGGAUGAUAGGUAAGUCUUUUUGAAAGACAGAUGAUUUGGUUGAACUCCAAAGUUCUUCUAGCUCAUUUUCUGACAGUAAAGUUUUCACCCCAAUUUUCCUCUCUCCCUCAUGUUUUUUUAUACUAAUGUCAUUAUUCUUAUUAUAUUAUGCAUGUUGUAGGCUCUUUUUAGUCUUGAAGUAUGUUGCAGGAGGAGUUUGACAAGGCUUGCCAGUUUAUUUCUCAUGUUAAUGACAUUCUAGCUGUUAUGAAUUGCAAGAAAUUAAAAUUGUAUGAUGGAUCUGAAUGUAUGAAGUUGGCCAGUGAGGAGGUGUUGUUUGAGACUGGGAAUCUUCAUGUUGAGCUGAGCGAUCAAUUUCGUGCGACUUUUUUGGAGAAUCAAUGUUCACUUUUAGAGGCCAACUAUGAGGCUUUCCUUCGAGAGAACCAUGUCAUGCAUGCUCAACUCACUGGGAAGUCUUCUUAAGUAAUUUUUCUGAAUUGGUUAUGCUUUAUAUGUGUCUUAGCAAGCAUUUUGGUAGGGAUAUCUUGUAAGUGUAACAAACUUCUUGUACUCUCAAUUAUUUUGUUGGACGAACCUUACAUUGUUAUGCUCGAUGGUUUUAAUCAAGUUUUUGGUCCCAACUUACAUUUCUCUUUCACGUUUGAUUACUUUUUCCUAGUCCCAUGUUUUUCCGGUGUGAUUCAUCUAGGAAAUCUUGCAAAUCAGGCCACUAUCCUACCAAGGUGUCAUUUGCCUCUUAUAAGUCAUGUUGCUUAUUAUCAUAUGCUAGUAUGAAUUGGUUAAGGAAAUGUUGCGACCUUAUUGGGUGGCAUGUUAGCCUCAUUAAUCAUGUUUCUUUGAAUCAUAUGCUGGUAUGAUUUGAUCAAGGUAAUGAUGCGACCUUUCUGGGGUGUUGUGUGCCCUUCAUAAGUCAUGUUUCAUUGAAUCAUUUAUUAAUAUGAUUUGAUCAAGGUAAUGUUGCAACCUUGUCGGGGUGUCGAUUUCCCCUUAUAAGUCAUGUUGCUUUGAAUCAUAUGUUAGUAUGAUUUGAUCAAGGUAAUUCUGUGAGCUUUACAGGGUGUUGCAUGCCCCUCAUAAGUCAUGUUUCUUUGAAUCAUAUGUUGGUUUGAUUCGAUCAAGGUAAUGUUGCGACCUUUUUGGGGUGUCAUGCGCCCCUCAUAAGUCAUGUUCCUUUGAAUCAUAUAUUGGUAUUAUUAGAUGAAAUACGUCACUAAGAGUUAUAAAGGAGUUAGAAAAGUGGUAGUGUAACUACUUAUACAGUUAGAAUGGUGCAUUGACGUGUAGUGGGGAUUGUAAUUUACCUAAGAGUAGAUGGUUUAGAAAUGUGUUGGUUUUAAACCAUACUUGUGAGAAAAAUGUAAGUUUAUAAUCAAGGUCGAGUAAAGUGGAACAAAGAUGAGAAAUGGUGUUAAGUGUGCAGUAUGAUUGCAUAUGAGUGGAUAGAGUAAUAUAUGUCCCUUAACAACCAUUUUCAGUACAUAGAUGAAGAGAGUUUGGUAAUUGCAUUGAAAAUGAUACGAAUUGGAAAUUAGAUUACAAUUUCAGGUUAUGAGGUUAAAGAAGAGAAUAACCUUAGAAAAGAGCCAUUGAGUGAGAAAAUGGCUAAUGAAGUUAAGAAAAUAUUUUUAGGAUGAAAUCUCUUAAAAGAUGGGAGAUUGUAUGAACCUAGAAUUUAAAGAGAUUUGACUUUUAGUCCAAUAUUGAUCAAAACGGAAAAAUUGUCAUUUAUGAGAAAUGGGCAAGUUUAUAAAGUUUUGACUUCAUGAAAAUGGCCAAGAAGAGUUUAAGUCAAUAAUACGAGGUUGUAUGAGUCAGUUCAAGAGAAGAAAUACAUGAGAAGACGCAUUUUGGUCAAAGGGGUAAAAUGGGGAAUUUAAUGCUUUUUUGGCCAAAUUUGUGACUUAAUAUAUUAAAACUUGUAUUAAUUUAAUGAGAAAUGACUUAACAAGGUUGUAGAUUGUAUCCCCACCUUCGCGUGGAUAUAAAGAUCAUAGCAAACAACCAUAGACCGAAGAAGUUAUAAAGGUUAGAAGUUGGGACAAAACUUGUUCCCAAGGCUGGAAUAGAAUCAACAAUGGACUUUGUUGAUCUGCAUCCACUGCGACAUGGAGAAUGCCUUACCAUGACGAGGUGAGGUUGAUGGAUAAUGAGUCACAUUCUCAUCGUAAGUAGAGGGUAAUGUACGUUACGAUGUGACAUGGUAUAUGGGUGCCACAACAUGGUGGCCAAAGUAGGAUGUUGUAAGGGGAAGGCAUCACGGCUUGACCAAAGACUAACCACGUCAUAAGAGCUCUCACCAUAGCACUGUGAUAGUUUCAUAAAAACGCAUUAUCAAGGACGAAACAUAGGUUAUAACCUAUUAGAGCCUCAAUUGCGAACAAAAGACACCCCAAAUUAGAGCAGAGCUUAAUGCUGGUGAUUUUGAUGUCAAGAAGGAAGCAAGAAAAGCUAGAGAUGAAUCCUAACAAGGAUUUUCAUCCUCUCUCCAAUAAGGUAAAUGUAACACCCGGAUUCCCAGGUAUGAUAUUUUGUUCUUUUAUUUUUGGGUUUUGUGGGGGUACUCGGCGAGUUGGCGUCUAGACUCGCCAAGUAUGGUCGCAGAUUUGUAUGCGAGUUCACAGCUGGACUCGGCGAGUUCAUGAGUGGACUCGGCGAGUCCACGCUGUUUAAUGAAACCCUAAUUUCCAUGGUUUGAGACCUAUUUAAAGGGCCUUAUGGCUGUCAUUUGCGGCCACCAACCCCAGAGAUAAACCCUAAAGAGAUCUAGAGCAUUUGUGAGGAAGGAGAGGCCAAUCUUGGUAUUUGGUGGGUGUUUUGCAAGAUGGAAGUGUUUAAGGCAAGAGGAGGCUGUAGGAGGUGUGAUUUUUGGUGGUUUUGAGCUCAAAGAGAUUUCAUUAAGGUACUAUUCUCGGACCUUCUUCAGUUUGGUGUUGAUUCUUAGUGUUAGGGUUUUCCAAACCCUUUUUGAGAUUGAUUAAGUGGUGUAUUUGGUCCCUCCUUGAGUUUGUGUUCUGGAUCUGGACCCAAAGAGGUCCAGAGACUUUAUCCCUUGGAUCUUUAUGAGUCUUUUUGGAAGUCAUGAGCUUGGAAUGUCAUUUUUGGGGCUAAAUCACCGUUUUGGAUCAUUUCUAUGUUAUUUGUGUGUCAAGGUCCGAACUUUACGUGAUUAUCAUGCUUGGGGAGGUCAGAUCUAUGACUGUGUGGAACAGAUCUGACCUCAGAAGUCGUUUUGAGAUUGUGCAUGGCAUGAACUCGCCGAGUCCCAAGAACAGACUCGGUGAGUAGUAUGAAGGUUGCCCGUUAAUCACUCAGUGAGUGGACUUGCCGAGUUGGGAGAAUGACUUAGUAAGUCAGGGAGAGUCAGGGGUCUGAGUUCAAGUUGGAACUUGCCGAGUUGUUCUUGGGACUCGGCAUGUUGAGUCGGGGUAGCGCCGCGAUUCAUGCCAGGUGGGACUNCAUGCCAGGUGGAACUCGUCGAGUCAAGGGAAGUACUCGACGUGCCAAGAGAGAAUCUAAGAGAGUCAAUGGACACGUGUAGACUCACCGAGUCGCCCUUGUGCACUCGCCGAGUCGGGUCAAGUUCGACCGUUGACCUUGUUGACUUUAGGGUUGAGUACAGUUGUAUUUAUGGGAGUAUUACUUUAUGUGAUUAGGCGGAGGCUAGAUCAUAUUUCUUCCGAGUCAGAUAUUUUCCGAGACAUCGAGGUGAGUCUUCUCACUAUACGUUACCUAGAGUGGUACUAUCCGAUGACCAGAGGGUCUUAUUUGUGAUGUAUGAGAUUAUGUGCUAUGUGAUAUUUGUAUGUUGUAUGAUGAUAUAGACCGGACCGGAGGGUCCAAUGAGCUAUGACCGGACCUAAGGGUCUAACAAGCUACGGGACUGGAGGGUCCCGCUGAGACACAGCGACCGGAGGGUCGUACUAUAGCCUCGAGUGGCGUGUGUGCUGUAUGUGGUAUUUUGGGGAACUCACUAAGCAUUUAUGCUUACAGUUGUUGUGUUAUGUGUUUCAGGUACUAGUGAUGAGCGUGGGAAGACGCCGGCAUGAUUCAUACACACACGCAUUGGAGUUUUGUGGAGAUUCUGGGCAAAUGUUUUGUAAUAAUAACAUUGAUACAAUGUGUUUGACAAUCUUUAUGAAUGAAUGAAUGCUUUAAAAAUCAAAAAUUUAUUUUGUAAAUUCGCGUUGUUACAGUAAAGAUUUAUCCAUUUUUGAGAAAAUGUUUAGUUUGGUUAGAUUGAUUGAAUUGAUCAACCUAUAGUUUGAUUAUGAUGUAGAUGAGAGUGUUUAGAAGCUUUAAUCAAGCUAGGGAAGUGAUUUCCAUGCUGAAGUCAACCCAAUGAGAGUUAGGGUUUGAAACGCUGACUAGUGCAUUUAUGAUUGAUUCAUUGAUGGUUAGAUUAUAAUAAAUUAGGUAGUAUGGGAUGCUUAAUUCAUUGGUUGUGUUAGAUUAAGAGGUGAAAAUAGAGAAGUUAGAAUAUUGAUCCAUGGAGUGGUCAUUUUGACAUAGAGAGGAUUAAGCUCUUAAUAGGUUAAGACAUGUUCUAAGGGACUUGACAUGUAGUAUUAAUAGGCCUUGAGCAAAGAAGAUGGAUAAAAAUGCAUCAAUCGAAGACAGGAUCCAAGAGUCGUUAAUGUUCACUAACUAACAUGGUGAGUUAUGAGUACUAUCUACAUGAUGUAAGAAAGAAUAAGAUUAUAUUUAUUAUAAUCAUAUGUAUGAAUGUAUGUAUGGUUAGAUGAGAAGGUUAUUUGUUGAAUACAUAAUAAAUGGUAAAAGGAGAUAGAAUGUGAUUAUAUUCACUAUAAUCAUAUUAGUGAAUUAAUGGUAUUGUGUAAAAUACCUAAGAGCAAUGAGAAAAUGAUAAAGAUUAAGUACUUAAUAAGUUAAGUACUAGAUGAGUAGUAAGAGAUAUAUUGAUGAGAUAAACAGAUCGAAUGUCCAUGGGACAAGUGUGAUGUGAUGAGUCACAUAAAAGAGUUAGAGAAAUUUAGAAAGAUGAUUCGUUCGGGAAUGGUAUAGAGAUUCCUUUGGGAAUAAGAUUAUGGUUCCUUCGAGAAUGUACAUAUAUGAUUCGUGAGGGAAUGAGUUUGUGUAUAGUUAGAGAAUAUAGAAGGAUUCGAUGAGUGGAACAAGGUAAGAGUUUUCUUUAAGAAAUUAAAGAUAAUCCGAGAGGGAUUAAGAAUAAGUAAUAUGUGAUGGAUUCUAGAAAAGAAUAAUAUCAAAGAGAUUCGUUAGAGAUCAAGAUGAGGGAGUUACGUCCAGAUGUUUGUUCCCGGUAAGAUUAUAUGUAUGUUUUCCCAUAUAUGAUUAAUGUAGUUAUUAUAUGUGAUGGACCAUUUAGGUCUAGAUUAGAAUGUAAUGUUGAGGCAUGAGAAGUUGAGAAUAGAGAGACGAGAUUUAAGUAGAAUAAGAGAUGAGAAAGUCUUGCAUAAAGAGAGGGAAGACUAUACAGAAAGAUGAUAUGAGAUAGAGUAUCGAGAAAGCAAAAAUAAAAGAAGUGAUAAGAGCAUGAGAGAGCCAAAGUAAGUUAAGAUAGUGCAUGUAUAGAGUAUGAGAUGAUCUUGAGAAGAGGCUAAGAAACUGUAUGAGUUAAGAAGAAAGGAAUGGUGUAACACCCAAAAAUUUCAAACCAAUUUAAACUUUUGAAACAUGUCAAGUUCAUCAAAACAUUACAACUUUGUUUUCAAAAUAUUAUUUAUCAGAGUAUUCCCAUAAACAUAAACAUGAUAUGAGGAGCUGUACGAUCAUGCCUUCGCCUUGCUGCGAUCCCCUGAUGUACCUGAAACAAUAAACUGAAACAGUAAGCCCGCAAGCUUAGUGAGUUACCCCCAAAAUACCGACACACAUACAGUCCACAUAACCAUGUCGGCAAUAACAUGUCAUAACCAACUAAACAGAAUAGCACAUAACGGCUCCAUAGCCCUACAGAUUGUAAUACCCACGAGCCCAAAGUACGAGUCUCCCUCAUCCCGUAACUGGAAUGCUCCCGAGCCCACAGUACGAGUCUCCCUUAGCUUGUAACUGAAAUGCUCCUAGGGUUUAUUGGCUACCGCACAAAGCAGUACAACCUCAACCAAUCCCAUAUGACAAACACAUAAAUCAUAAGAAUCGAGCAUGCAAUAACCAUAUAACAUCACAGGUAGUCCUACAGACCCACCAAAUAGGUAUAACCACUAGCAUGCAAUACUAAGUCAUACUCAACAUCUAACACAGCUCAAGAUAACAUGUCAAAUAGGCUGGCCUUGGUGCCUUGACCCCUUAGUGUAGUGAGGAUAACUCACCUCGCAACUGUCGUAUGAACUAGAAAGCUUAACUCCUGGAUCACUAACACAAACUUCACCACCUACGAUUACCAUAAAACCCCUUUUUUCAUAAAUUUCCUAAUUACCAUAAUACCCUUAGAAGUCAACUGGUCAACCAUUGCUCCAAGUCAAAGUCCACAGUCAAAGUCAACAGUCCAUGUUGACUCGACUCGUCGAGUGCAGCUCACCGACUCGUGAAGUCCCUCCUGAACUCGAGAAGUCGGGAAAUCCUUGAUUGGCUUGUCGAGUUCCCCUUUAACUCGCCGAGUUCACAUGUGUCCAUGAAUUGGGAGAAACCCUAGCCGACUCGCCGAGUCUUCGAACGAGUCGCCGAGUUCAAGGCAAUCUUCAACGGGCUCGUCGAGUUGUUCAUCAACUCGUCGAGUCCAUGACCAUCUUCAAUGGGCUUGCCGAUUUGUUCAUCCAACUCGUUGAGUCAUUGCAGACCUUUAUCCAUGCAGACGCUUUUUAAGCCAUGGCAAGGUUCUAGAUUACAAAUCCAAGCUUCUAAGGCACGUUUAUCACGUAAACUUGCAAACUUUACGCACACGCAAGGCUCUAAAGGCCCUAAAUGACUAAUCAAAGCUUCCAAUGGAGCUUUACACCUUGGGAGAGUCUCAUCCUUGCACAAGAUGGAAACUUUAUGGACUUAGAAGCCCAAGGGAGCUUAGUUCGAAAGUGACAACUUCAGAUCUUAGCUUGCACACAAGAAUAGCUUCCAAUCAUACCAUGAAAACCCUAAGAUUCGUCUAAAGAAGGAAUCUAGAAUGAAAUGAGCUCAGGGUAAAGAUUUAUACCUUCCAGAAGAUGCCCAAAAGGUAGAUUUCAGAUUCCACAAGCUCCUUGCUUCUGAAUACUAGCUCUCUAAGCUCCUUUCUCCACAAAAUCCUCUUCCAAGCUCAAAAGUGCACAAAUGGAAAACACACACUCGAUUAGGUUUUGAGAAGGACAAGAAGCAGUAAAGGGGAAGCUGGGGGAGGCCAAUGAUCCUUUAAAUAUGGUGCAAAACCCCGAGAUCUAGGUUUUCAUCUGCCAGCUCGUACUCAUCGAGUCCCUUCUUGGACUCGGUGAGUAGGUCAUUAAAAUAUGUGGACCAACCCGCUGCUACUCGACGAGUAGGGCAAUCAACUCGUCGAGUAGCCCCUUGAAAUCGAGAAACUCACACAUUAAAUCAAUACCUUAGAAACGUGGCAUUACAAAUGGAGAAGAAGAGUAAAGGAUAAAGCAUGAGGUAGAGGAGAUGAGAAGGUACGAGAAAAGAGAAGAAGAGGCAUAUGGAUGAGAAAGAAAAACAAUGUGUGAUAUAAGAAGAUUAGAUUGCAGAAUAUGAGAAAUAAAAUAGAGAAGGAAGCAUUAUCGAAAUAUACAAAUAGAUAAAAGAAGAGUGGAUUAACAUGAAAUAGAAAGUAUAUAACUCACCAAAUAUUGAUGUCUGAUAUUGUAGAGAUGUUUCAUGUUUUGCAGGUUCAAGUAGAAGCCAUGGUACAUGAGAAGAUAAGAGCAUAAGGACUUAGACUAAAAGUGUACAUACUUUAGUUUUCCUUGUUGCUGUAUUUAUCAUUUUAUUUUAAACCUGAAUAUUGCCUAGGGUGUAAAAUGUUUUAUUUUUAUUAGUUUAUAGAAUUCCAAAAUUUUUUAGAAAUAAUUUUGUAAUCCCUAGAGAUUUGAGUGUAGAAAGUUUAGGUGAUGUUUUUUCUAGUAAUUAUGGCCAUUGGUUCAGCUUACACCCAUUUGGUGAAGUAAUGAAUUUCUACAACUAGGAAUUUUAAUUUUACUAGUGCCUCCAAGAAAGUCCCUACAAUAUCAAUUCUUCAUUGUGCGAACGGUUAUGGGAUUUUGAUGCUUAUCAAUGGUGUGGAUGCUCUUCUCGGUAUCGGCGCAUGUUUUUGGCAUUUCUCACAAUUGUAGAUAACGUAUUUUUUUGUUUUGAUACAUUGUUGGCUAAUAGUAUCCUAAUCGGGCUACCUUCUAGAUGAUCAUUCUCUCCCCCCUCAUGUGCUCCUGCUAUCCCUUCAAGCAUUUCACUUAUCAUCUAUUUCGCCUCUACUUUAUUCACACAUCUAGUCGGGAUGCUAGGUAACCUCUUUUAUAUAAUGUCCCAUUUUGCAUCACAAAAGAUGGUGCCUUGAUUCUUACUUUUCAAGCUUGUUUGUUGUCCUAUGGUAGUUUUCCUUCCAACAAGUAUUCAAUUAUUGGACGUCUUUAAUGGUUUGUUGGGUCUACGACCUAGAUUGAAUGUGCUUCAUCUAUCAAUUUUAUUUGUACUAUUUCUACUAGGAUUUAUUUUGUAAAGUGUGAAAAAGCAGAUGACGAUAGCUUGCUUAAUGCAUCUGUUCACUUAUUCUUUGAUCGGGGUAAAUGUUGUAGUUUGAAGCUUCUGAAUUGCUUUGUUAGUAAUAUUACUUUGGCACGCGUAUUGAAAAAAAUUGAAUCCCAUGACUUCAUAGAUUCCAUUGAUUAGCUACUACCAUAGGAUCAACAAAGGUGCUUAUAUCUUGGCAUCCCAUUUUAAUUGUUGAUUGUAGUACAACUAUUAAAGCUUAGUACUCAGAUUCAUGGUUUGAGGCUACGAAGUCAAACCAUAGUGCAUAGGUUAUGUCCUCUCAUGUUGGGUUAGUCAGUAUUAAACCAGCUCCUGCCCCAUCUAUACUUGAGGUUUCAUCAUCAUCCAAGACCCAUUCUUCCUUAUCGGGUUGGUUUUCUUGUUUACCUUUCUUGUUGCUUUCCUCCACUAUGGUUAACUUUAUGUUGCUAGUUUUAUCGGUUUAAAGUCUACUAGUGCCUAUGACUUUAUGCUUUCUUGUGGCUUGAAAUCCAUCUCACAUUCCCCUAAUUCAACUUCCCAUUUAGCCAUAUUUGCCGACUUUUCUCGAUUUAACAACUUCCCUAAUGAAAUGAUAUUGCUAAGGAUAUAUAAUCAUAUAGGGUCACACCUUUAUUACUAGAAAAAUACCCUUUAAUGACACAUACUACGUGUCAUAAAAGGGUGCAUAUGACACGCAGAUGCGUGUCAAGGAAGCCCAUGUCAUAAAGGAAGAUGAUACGCAUAGAUGACACGUAAUGUGUAUCAAGCAAGCCCCUGUCAUAAAAGAAGACGACACACAUUUGCGUGUUGUAACCUGAUGAAGUGCCUUUACGACACACAUAGCGUGUCAUAAUUUAAAAUGUUUUAAAAAAAUAUUUUUAUUAUAGAUUUACUAAUUUUCAAAGUAAAUGACAAUUAAUGUUUCAUAACACAACAUAAAAUACAUUAUAUAACAAAAAAAUAUAUAUUUCAUACAAUAAAUGUACCAACAUUCAUUCAGCUAAUCUACUUUGUGUUUCAUACAUCUAUUUCAUACAAUAAAUGUACCAUCAAUAGAAACUGUCACACCCCAAAACUGGAACGGCGGAAAGGUUCUGGGGUGGAUGACGUCAUGUCAAGUAUUACAACAUAUGCAAUAUAGUUAUCAAAGUACAACAACCAUUGCAUUAAUAGUAAUAGUUUUACAUUGUUUACAUUACAUAGACACAUCAAAGUAAUACAAGUAAUAAUAUAGGUGCAACUUGGUACUAAACCGUCUUCAUCAAAAGCUCCUGGAAUGUGCCUGUCUAUUGUUGACCUGAGAAUACAAGUUAAUUGAAAGCGAGUAUUAGCAUUUUUACAAAUGCUGGUGAGUUCAUAAGUAUUUAGUGUCAUUUUAUCCAAAUAACUUUAUAUAAGUAAUAGUUUUAAAGUAUAAAGUGAAUUAAAGUCCUUUCCAGAAAAUCCUAUAUUUUCUAAUUAAAAGCAGCCUUCUACCAAGACUGGAUAGAGUUAUGUGGUAAAAAGUAGUUUUUCCUUAACACUAUCAUUGUGAAAAAGUGGUAUUGAUUUUGAAAGAAAGUAGGAGAAUAUCAGUGCAAAUAACAUAAGCCUCAGCAGUGAAGACUGCUGACUAAGGCAAAAGAAAUCAUAGACUCCAGGAGAGUACCGAAUGAACGGUACGCCUAGCUCAGUCUAACAAAAGGGAGACACAGACCCUAGAUGGUAUCAAACGAAAGAUACGUCUAGCAAGGUCUAAAAACAGUGGACACAGACCCCAGACAGUAUCAACUGAAUGAUACGUCUAGCAAGGUCUAAAAAUAGUGGAAACAGACUCUAGACACUAUCAACUGAAUGAUACGUCUAGCAAGGUCUAAAAACAGUGAAUACAAUGUUAAAACCCGUUACCUUAAGGCCAUGAAUUAUAAGGUAACCUCGAGAUACUCGUAACCAUACUGAUAGAAACUAAAGAACUAGACGCCCUGCAAGCGUCUGUGUAAGUGUGACAAUUUUCACCUCUUAGCUUGGUAGGCCGUAGACUGUAGCUAGUAGUCAGGGUGCGGGGGUGUCAAUCCCGUAUAGAUCUAUGCACACAAUGUCUGCUCUCCCUACAAGAGACUCUGGUUACCAACUUGACAACGAAGAAGGUCGUGUACUGAAGAUGUAUCUUGUAUAGUGAGAUCUAAUGUAAAAUACUGGACUGGUGAUAGAGACUCACAACUGAACUGACUAAUGUAAACGUAUAUGUCUAUGCUUGUAUACAUAAUAUAUAACUAAUGAUCAAACAACCUUCGGACGGAUAUCCGAUCCCACCAGACCACAUCUCAAUGAAGAAAAGGAAAUAGGGUGAACUAGCCUUCCUAAGUCCUUUAAACAUUACUUAUAUAUAUCUAUACAAGCACGGGCAUACAUUUAACUAAGUAGAAGCAUUUAACGAAGUUUAAGUGUUUAACGAAGUAGAAGUGUUUCCCAAAGUACAAGUGUUAACAAGUAGGAGCUUAUCGUGAAGUAGAAGCGUAUCAUGAAGUAUAAGCGUAUCGUGAAGUAUAAGUGUAUCGUGAAGUAUAAGCGUAUUGUGAAGUAGGAGCAUUAACAAAUAUAAGUGAAGUAGAAGCGUUAACAAGUAUACGUGAAGUAGAAGCGUUAACAAGUAUAAGUGUAUCACGAACUGAAAGCAUUAUCAAGUAGGAGUUUAAACUAAGUAGAAGUGAAGCAGUAGUAUCUUAACCAAGUAGGAGUAUAAAAACAUGGGAGAAAACUUUGAUGAAAAACUUGGGAAAACCUUUAUACUUGAGAAAAUCACAUCUUGGUAUUCUUUUGUAAAAUAAGUUUGAAAUGAAACUUUGAUAAAACAUUUUAAGUACAGAAAACUUUUGUUUAUAAUGCUGCUGUAACGGAAUUUGAAAUAAAACAUGCAGCGCGAGAAACAAUUUGAGAAGAGCUUUGAAACAAGUGAAAACAUUUUAGGAAAACCAUUUACAGUAUCAUUCUUGGUAAAACAGUUGACAGUGUAACAAAUCCUUGUGCAUGCAGGUUAUCAAUCGUAUGUGAUUGAUAUGAUAACUGGCAUGUUUAACUUGUAUCCCCCCCCAUAAAAGCAUGUAAAAACGUUUAAAAGGUUCAUUCAUGGGUAUGAACUCACCUGAUGUAAGUGGAUCCGACGAAGGUGCCGGUUGGGUGCUCGGUGUCAAGUAAAGACUUGAAUACACUUAGUGACUUAUUAACAUAUCAUAACAUAUGUUUACAUACAAUUAGUACAUAUAAUACUAAUUAAACAAGUAUACGCAUCCUANAAUUGCGGAACACUUUGAUAAAGUGCUAGGGGUGUCCUGGGUAACAUCUAUGGGUAUGUAUGGCUUAGAUAAAGAGUUUACUCUUCAAGAGUAAACUCUUUAUAGAGUUCACGGCCCUAGGACUAACUCCCCAUGAUUUUACGGCUGUAAACUCAUGGUGAGGGUGUUCUAGGGUGCUAAAAGGUCUCAUCUCAAUUGUAGAUGUAUGUUAAGUCCAAAUAUAAGGCACAUGAGUGGAUUUAAGGCAUCUAAAUGGACCAAAUAGGAGUUUACGGCCCUAAACAAGGAGAGUACGGCCGUAAGCUCCUAUAUACAUACUCCUUUGGUGUUUUAAGGGCUUAAAUGAUAGAGAAUAAAAUCCUAUGCAUUUUUCUAAGUCAAAUGGGGAGUUUAGGGCACCAUUUGGGCAUUUUCUAGGAGUUUACGGCCCAUGGACCUUUCCUAGGGGGGUUUACGGCCGUAAACUCCCAUUUCCUUGGAUUUAUUGAAGUUUAAUGCCUUUACUUAAAUGGGAUUGCUUCUAGACAUUUUUCCAAGGCCAUAGGAGGUGUUUGUGGGCAUUUCUAACACAUAAAAUUGAGUUUACUCCCCAUGAAGAGGAGUUUAUGGCCCAAGAAUGUUCUUGGGUAGUAAACUCAUUUUUACUCUCCAAAAACUCGUUUCAAGGUGUUCUAAGUCCGAAUGUGUAAGCCUACAAGUCAUAUCUAAGCGUUAGGGGCAAUUUGGAGGGGUUUGGGGCUUAAAAACCCCAUUAAAUGGUGUUCACGGUCCAAGAGUGUUCUUGGGCCAUAAACACAUAACUUGGCCCCUAUUUGAUGUCUUAAACACGAAUUUGCAUGCUAGGUAAGCUAUACAACAAGUUAGGGUAGAUUGCUUACUCGUUUGUGGCUCGAAACGGACAAUUUUUGGCUCGAAAAUAAGUUGUAGAGAGAGUGUGUAGAGAGAGAGUGGAAAAGGUGAAAAUGAAGUCCACUCCCCCUUAUAUAGGGGCUUGAGUUGAGGCUCAGUGGGAAUCUACCCGAUACUGCCGUUAAACGGGGCUUUUGGUCGCACCCGAUUUAGUGGUCGUAUUUUGACUAGGUUGAAACUAAAAUUUUUCCAAGGGAUUAAUGAGGGUGUUUUUAAUUUGUUUCAACCCUAACAAAGUCAUUUAAAAAGUCUCUAAAUUAAUUAGCCAGUCCAAAAGUUAACGGACAGUGAAAUAAAACGAGGUUUAUUAACGGAAAAGGGGGUUAAAAAUGACGGAAUAAAUUUCGGGUUGUCACAUCAUCCCCCCGUUAGAGGGAAUUUCGUCCUGAAAUUCAGGUUUAGGCAAGGAAGUAGGUAUGAAUGACCGAGUAGAGGCAGGUGGGUACUUCCUAUUCGGUUUUUCCUCGCACCCCCAAGUGAACUCUAGCCUAUGUUUGUCAUUCCAACAAACCUCCGCCUAUGGGAUGCGGAUUCUGUCUCGUGCAGUUAGUGAUUUCCUACAAGUAUUUCUACGAAGUUAGGGUUCUCAAUGGUUUCUAUCAAGACGAGUGGGUUAUGAAGGGUGACAUCGGGAAAGCACUUAUCAAGUCUAAGGAGUGGAUCGAUCUGUGGUGAAACAUGUGGAGUAUCCGAAUGUAGUAGCGGUCUGACGAGGGUUGGACCGAUCUCCGUGAGGAUUCUCAGAUGGUCCUAAGCUCUCUGAAGGUUAGAGCUUUUCAGUACCUAGAACAUAGUGUACUUCUAUGGCAAGAUCAUCACUUGCGUCAUUGCCAUUCCGAAGUUCCUAACGUUCUCUCUCAUACUGGAAGUGUAGUCCUUUAGGUUGGUUCUUAGGAAGCUCGGGUUGUCCUUGGUUUCGCGUUUCCUGUCAAUUGGCUUUUAGAGACUUUCUAGAUCAUUGGAUGGAUUGCGUGUCUAUGGUUAUCUGUUUGCUGUAGAGUGUCUAUCUCAAGCUCGUGCAAAAUGAACCUGCACUUCUGAUUCAUGAGAUAUUUCUAACGGAAACCCUCUGGGUCGAGGAGAUAGGGUUUCACCAGACGAGUGUUGGACUAUCUCAAGAGGUGGUUCUACUAUUUCUGCGUGAGAUAGUAUUGGUGGAACACCUAGUAGUCCAAUGAAUCUCUAAGAUGUUGGUUUAUUUCAGUGCGGAAAGCAGUUGCUCUUGUAUAACCCAUCGACUAACACCUGGAUUGGUGUCGAGUCUAUAAUCUCUUCUGGAUCUGGAUUAUAAGACUUAACGCAACUACUUUCGCACUUUGAUCAAGUAUUCUUGGCUGCGAAGGUUAUCUUGUGGUUCUCGGUAUUCUAGUGUUCGCUUCGGAGAAUUCAGUCUAUCGCCUACAAGGCGGCGGUGACUUCCUCCAUGCGAUGGGGUGGAGGAUCCUAGGCACUACUCAUCUGUAACGGGGUGGACAAAGUGCCUGAGUAGUGCGAACAUCUUCUACUACUAUUCUGAAGGUUCUGAGUUUUCUCGGUCUAUGUCAAACAAGGAGUUUACAGCCGUAAGCUCCUAUUUACAUACUCCUUUGGUGUUUUAAGGGUUUAAAUGAUAGAGAAUAAAAUCCUAUGCAUUUUUCUAAGUCAAAUGGGGAGUUUAAGGCACCAUUUAGGCAUUUUCUAGGAGUUUACGGCCCAUGGACCUUUCCUAAGGGGGUUUACGGCUGUAAACUCCCAUUUCCUUGGAUUUAUUGAAGUUUAAUGCCUUUACUUCAAUAGGAUUACUUCUAGACAUUUUUCCAAGGCCAUAGGAGGUGUUUGUGGGAAUUUCUAACACAUAAAAUUGAGUUUACUCCCCAUGAAGAGGAGUUUACGGCCCAAGCAUGUUCUUGGGCAGUAAACUCAUGUUUACUCUCCAAAAACUCGUUUCAAGGGGUUCUAAGUCCGAAUUUGUAAGCCUACAAGUCAUAUCUAAGCGUUAGGGGCAAUUUGGAGGGGUUUUGGGGCUUAAAAACCCCAUUAAAUGGUGUUCACGGUCCAAGAGUGUUAGUGGGCUGUAAACACAUAACUUGGCCCCAAUUUGAUGUCUUAAACACGAAUUUGCAUGCUAGGUAAGCUAUACAACAAGUUAGGGUAGAUUGCUUACUCGUUUGGGGCUCGAAACGGACGAUUUUUGGCUCGAAAAUAAGUUGUAAAGAGAGUGUAGAGAGAGAGUGGAAAAGGUGAAAAUGAAGUCCACUCCCCCUUAUAUAGGGGCUUGAGUUGAGGCUCAGUGGGAAUCUACCCGAUACUGCCGUUAAACGGGGCUUUUGGUCGCACCCGAUUUAGUGGUCGUAUUUUGACUAGGUUGAAACUAAAAUUUUUCCAAGGGAUUAAUGAGGGUGUUUUUAAUUUGUUUCAACCCUAACAAAGUCAUUUAAAAAGUCUCCAAAUUAAUUAAUCAGUCAAAAAGUUAACGGACAGUUAAAUAAAACGAGGCUUAUUAACGGAAAAAGGGGGUUAAAAAUGACGGAAUAAAUUUCGGGUUGUCACAGAAACCAUUUCCUUAAUUCCUCUGUGAAACAUUUGAAGAGAAUAAGAUAGUAAACGACCUUGUGUAUCUGGUCUUUAAAUAAGCAAAGCUUUCUUGACAUCUCAACACCUUUUUUUACCUGACCAUAAUGGCACAACAUAUACAAAAGCAAAGAAAAGAAAUAAAAAUAUCACCUGCUUAAUGAAUGAUAUUAGCUCUGAAUAUUAUAUAACAAUUACCUUAUUAACAAAUGUUCCUUGAAAUAGUCUUUUGUCUUCUUUUAACUACCAUUAAGAAUCAAAAGUAGUAGAUUAGCACCUUUCAUGAAAUUGAAAAAAAAAACUAAAUGAAAAGUAGUAGAUAUUAGUCGAGAGAGAUUGAUAUGUGGAUGUUGUUAAUCGGGUCCAACAUCGCCUGAAACAGAUUUAAAAAUAAAAAAUAACAUUUAGUCGUGAAUCAAAAAUUCCAUACUUUAAAAGAGGCUACAUGGUUGGAAAACUUCAUCGAUGAUCUUGGUAUCAUUCUUAGCAUUUGAGAUCCCAUGGAAAUCUUUUGUGAUAAAUAGGGUGUAGUUGUGUUGACUAAAGAGCCUAAAGAUCAUGGGUAGUCAAUAUAUAUACUCAGGAAGUACUACAUUUAUAAGAUAGAUGAGAAUCAAGACAUCUUCAUAAAAAUAUUAUCAUCAAAAGAGAAUUUUGUUGACCCGUUCAUAAAGCCAUUAUCGAGGACCAACCAUGACAGUCAUACUAGGUCAAUAGGCAUGAGACUUCUGAGUGAUAUGGUUUAGUUUAUGGUUUGAUUAUUUUUCAACAUAUAACAUUAUGAUAUUCAACCAAUUUGGUGCUUAUUUUAUGGUGCAUUAAUAAAUAGAUAGUGACACUGCCAUUUUUGUUCAUUUAUUUCUAUGUUUCACUUUUGCAUGUUUAGAACCUACUUUCGUAAGGGUAGUGUAUUCAAACCUUCAAAUUCGGUCAUACUCAUGGAAGUAAGUAGUGAUAUAAAAUUUUCAUGAGCAUUAGUGGAUUGUCUAGAUAUUAGACAUAACAUAGAGAUUGUGUUAUCAUUUAUGAGUAUUGAAUAGAGAUUUAAGUAUUGGAACAACCCGCACUCAGAAAUUACUUCAUCAAUGAAGUCACGAGUAUUUCUAAGAUGAUAAUAUCUUUAUUCUUCAAACUGAGAUGCAUAUGGGAUUUUGCUUUACAAAUAUGUUAUGCAUUGGUCUACUCCGAUGUUAUUCGUAACUGGUAGUAAUAAAGGAUAUGUUAAUGUAUGAUAUGGUGGGUAUACAAAAACUAUGUAGUCAAAGUUUAUUUGUUUCUCCUGCCUUAAUAAGAGAAGCGAUAUUUAUGGUCCUCUUGAUGAUUGGUGUUAAAAUCUGAAAUUUUAGGCUGAGCCCUAACUAAAAUUUAUUUGCUCACUUUAGUAGUCUAAUGUAGUUGUCACAAAUCUUUAUCGGGAAACAUAAUCUUGAAAACUAAGAUUGAUAUAUAGAACAAAGGAAUAACCAAUCAUUUAUCUAAUGGUUGAAUCAAGAUUAGAUCAGAGUUUGGCAGUUGCAUUAGAUGACAUACUCUAUGUUGAUUAUUAGAGAAGUAUUGGACCUCAUAUAGUUGAUGGCUUUUCCAAGUGAGAUAUUGUUGGAUUGAUUGUCAAAGGUAAUUAACUAUUGAUGACAUUUCUAAUAAUAAUUGGGCUCUUUUGGGUUGUCUUCAUAACUCGUUUGAGUAGUAAGGAAUUGAGAGAAAGUAAGUUUGUUAACUUAUUACGAAUUAAUAAAUUAAUUAGAAAUUAGUUUUGAAAUAAUUAAACAUUUUUUAAUUAAUUAAAUGGGUUGAAAUUAAUUGAGUUAUUAGUAAUUAGUUGGAAUAUUCUAGAACUCUCCAAAAUAAGGGUAUGGAAGAAAAUCCCUAAGGAUUAAGGAUAUUAAAAGUUUUGAAUAUGGAUAGAGAUUAUCCUUAGGAAUUUGAAUACUUAAGGAUUAAGUUAGAGACUAUAAAUAGGAUGUUAGGGAUCAAACCCUGACUCUUUUACCCUUUCAGGAAUUCAUCCAAGCCUUCCCUCUUUCUCCCUUUUACGAAAAUAAUAACCAUUCCUAGGGUUAUUUUGAUUUUCAAAAUUACCCUCUCUCUUAGAGUUUCUCUUUUUUUUUUUCGAUUUAGUCUAUAUGAUUACCAUAUUUUAUAAAAUCUAUUAGUACACUUAUGUUUGUCAUACCCUUGACCCUCUCCAUCAGAGUAUAAAUAACAAUACGAACCUAUUCCUUGGAUAUCAAUCUUUAAAGAGUUUUAGUACUUUGUUUAUCCGGGUUUAUUACCUAGAUAGAUGGUGUAACUUCUUCUUUUUCAAAAUUAGAUCAAAUUAUUGAUUGUCAUCUUGUAUGUUCACCAAUAAUGUUAUAUGGUUUUACCUUCUAUAAUCGUAUAGUCGUUGAAUCUUUGUUUUAAAUAAACAAAAGAACAUUAAAAAAAAUAUACUUUGUGAUUGGUUUAUGUUUUAAAAUGUUUUCAAAAAAUCAAAGAUUUUACAACCCCUACCCCUUCUAUAAUCAUAUUAAUUAUUUUGUACAUAACAAGAGAUGUAUUAAAGGUUUGGAUGCAUGUAUAUCCUCUAGUGGUUUAUUUUUCAUAGGAAAGAUUCUUAUUAAUCAAUCUACGUGUUGUUGAGUGCAUAUGCUUAUUUCCAUAUUAUAAAUAUAUUGUAUUUUUUCAUGAUAUACACUUUCAACAUCAAUAAUCUAAAGGAAACUAAAUUACGUAAUUGUAUUGAUGUAUCAUGGUGAAUAACGAGAUAUGUUAUUUAUCAGGUUGGGAAGCUAGAUAUGUUUAAGUUUCAUUUUUGGAUCCUUAUAGCUUUCUAGAGAUUCAAACUAGAUUAUGCACUCAUUAUUCACUUAUGUCAUGUAUUUUUUUCACCUCAUCUCUAAUUUAAAUAAAGUGAUUUUGUGCAAGGUAUAUUUCUUUUAGUAGUGAUUUUGUUAGCAUGUUCAUGUUAUGGUUUAUACAAGACUACUUGUAACACCCCAAAAUUCAGGCCCGGAAAUUUCAUUUUUAAAUUAAUAAUUUCUAAAACAUUUUACCAUAACACUGUUAAUAAAGCAACACAUUACAAAAUCAUAAUGUUGUGUCCCAAACCAUGACAUCAAAAAUAAAGAAAAUUAGAGUACAAUCCCAGAAAGUCCGAUGCGGAAUCAUGUGUGUGUGUGUGAUACGAUGCUACGCCGCCGACUCCUUCCCCUUAGACGAAGAGGUACCUGAAACCAAAACCGAAACCGUAAGCACAAAGCUUAGUGAGUUCCCCCAUCAUACCACAUACCAUACAAUAUCCUCAGUAUCUUUCAACCGGUAACUUCCAUCGGUAUCUUUCAACCGGUAACCGUCGUUGGUAUCAUUCAACCGCUAAUCAUCAUCGGUUUCUUUCAACCGGUAAUCAUCAUAGGUAUAUUUCAACCGGUAACUGUCAUCGGUAUCUUUCAACCGGUAACUGGGUACUAUUCCACCCCUACCACUAGCAUACCAUAACAAGAUAUAAACAUACAGUCAGGCAUAUCUGGGUACUGACCUACCCUUCAGUCCUAAGGACCGCUGUCAAGGAAACUAAUCCCUAUUAAACACAUAGCAUAUCACUCAGAUAAAACUCAUGACCAAAGCACAUAUCAAGACCAAGAUAAUUAUCACAAAGACAAUCAUCUUCUAAAUACUCCUCUUUGGUGGGUCGGCAUUGUGGCCUUAGACCCACCCCUACUGGAAGGUAACUCACCUCGUAUGCAUAGCUGCUGAUAAUCUGUGCGAGAAACCUCUGUCUGCUGCUACUCCGGAUAUCCUCCGGCUACAAUCCCCACAGAACACUCAGUCAGAAACUGAUAUCUACUCUUAGGGUAAAAUGACUAUUUUACCCCCAACCAAGUCCAAGUCAAAGUCAACUUCUAGUUGCCCCGAAUCGCCGAGUUGGGUCGUCAACUCGUCGAGUCCCUUUCCUUUACUCGUCCUUAUCUAUGACUCGACGAGUUCCCCUCCUUUACGAACAUCAAUGAACCUUUAUCCGACUCGCCGAGUCGUUUGAACACUCGUCGAGUUCACGUUCAUCUGAUGAACAAGUCCUGACCUUGACUCACCGAGUUGUAUGGACAACUUGUCGAGUUCAUCUUCAAACAUAAGAAGAUUGCCUUGGACUCGCCGAGUCUGUUCUAGCACUCGUCGAGUCCCAUGAACUCUAGGUCUAAAACUAAGUUCAAUGUAUUGGGUCACCCUUUCUGUCCUGUUACAACCCUUCUAGCACCCAACUGAGUCCUUUGGCCCUCAACUGAUAUGGGACUCAAAGCCUUGGACUCGUUGAGUCCCAAGAACGGACUCGCCGAGUCGAUAACGUCCACACCCUAAAUCCUCGAUUUCUGAUGUACAAAACUUUUCCAAAUGAUAGAUCUAAGCCCCUAAGCACGAUCUAGCACGUAAAGUUACGAACCUUACGUGCAUGCAUGGGACUUUUGAGCCAAAAAGGCUCUAAAAUGGCUCUUUUGUUUCAUGGGGCCUUCCUUGAGUGCAAAAGCAACCCAAAUAUGCCUUGUGACUCUCCCUAAGUGCUAGAUCCGAUGUCUUGACCCCCAACCAUGUUUGCAAUCAUGGUUGGCUACCUCAUAUGGCUUAAAAAGCCUAAAUCCUUCCCAAAAAGGGAUUUAACAAACAAGCAAGCAAGGUACAGACUUUAUACCUUUCAAAGACUGCAAAUGAUGAACCAAACUCGAAUCCUUAAGUAUCCUCUUGAUCCUUCUACGCUCUUCCUUCUUCCUUGAGGUCAAAAACCACUAAGAUAACUCAAAAGCCUUAGAUUUUGCACCAUAACACUUAGGGUUUGCUAUGGAUGGCUUCUGGGAGCAUAAAGGGGCGAUAGAGGCUGUAUAAGGUUGUUUAAAUAGGGUGCAAACCCUCAGAUUAGGGUUUUGUCCAGUCAGAGCCUACUCGUCGAGUCCGGGACCCGACUCGACGAGUCCAUCACUUAAAUCCCGCGUCUCAUCUCUCUUCUACUCGGCGAGUUAGGACUUCAACUCGCCAAGUCCCAGGCCAAAAAUGCAAAAUUACUUAAAUAAAAUACAUACCAGGAAUCAGGUGCUAAAAAUCUCCCCCACUUAUUUUAGACUUCGUCCUCGAAGUCUGCCACUCGUUCCUGGAAAAGCUCUGGGUAAUGCUUCAUCAUCUCAUCUACCGACUCCCAAGUCCAUUCCGAGCCCUUCCGGUGCUGCCAUUGCACCUUUACCAACUCGACCCUCUUGUUCCUCAGAUCCUUCGACUUCUGGUCGAGAAUCGCUACAGGUCGUUCGACGUAAUUCAGGCUAUCAUCGACUUGAAUAUCCUCUAAUGGUACCACUGUCGAAUCGUCCACCAAACAUUUCCGUAACUGGGAGACAUGAAAAGUGCUAUGAAUUUGACUGAGUUCGGCUGGCAGAUCCAACCUAUAUGCCAUCUUGCCCACCCGGGUUAAGACCCUGAACAGUCCAAUGUACCUAGGGCCCAACUUGCCCUGUUUCCUGAAUCGGAUGAUGCCCUUCCACGAUGACACCUUCAGGAGAACCAUAUCCCCGACCUGAAAAUUCAGGUUAGAUCGGCGCUUGUCGGCAUAACUUUUUUGCCGACUCUGAGCAGUCUGAAGUCUGCUCCGAACUUGAUGAAUCCUCUAUGUCGUCUUGAGCACCACUUCGGUGCUCCCCAUGGCCCUCUGGCUAACCUCACCCCAACAUAUCGGGGUUCUGCACUUCCUCCCGUAUAACAUCUCGAAGGUAGGACGGUUAAUAAUCGCAUGAUAGCUAUUAUUAUACGAGAACUCCGACAACGGAAGGUAGGUAUCCCAGCUACCUCCGAAGUCUAAAACACAUGCCCGCAAAAUAUCCUCUAAUGUCUGGAUGGUCCGCUCACUCUGACCAUCCGUCUGCGGGUGAAAUGCGGUGAUAAAAUGCAGACGAGUACCCAUCUCGUCAUGAAACAUCCUCCAAAACCUGGAAGUGAACCGCACAUCCCUGUCUGAAAUCACCGAUACUGACACCCUGUGCCGUGCCACUACCUCCCUAAUACAGAUGUCGGCCAACUUUUCGGCCGAAAUGCUCUCCUGGAUCGGAAUAAAAUGAGCGCUCUUGGUCAAUCGAUCAACAAUGACCCAAAUCGAAUCCACCCCUCGCGUGGUCCUGGGAAGCUUUGUGAUAAAAUCCAUCAUAAUGUCCUCCCAUUUCCACAGUGGAAUAUCCAACGGCUACAUCCUGCCGUGUGGCCUCUGGUGCUCGACCUUGACCUCCCUGCAGGUCAAACACCACUCCACGUACCAUGCUACAUCCCGCUUCAUGCAGGGCCACAAAGUCCAGGCGAAGAUCCCUAUACAUCUUCGUCGCCCCGGGAUGAAUGGAGAAUUGAUAUUUGUGCGCCUCCUCUAUCAGAACCUGGCGCACACCCCCGUGGUACGGCACCCACACCUUACGGUGUAGUGUCAAUAAUCAUCGGUUGUCAUAGUCGAAGGAGGAAACCUAUCCCACAAUUCGCUUGCUCUUCCGAUGUUCCUCCUUCAAGGCCUCCUGUUGGGCCUCCCGAAUCUGCUCCAAAAGCGGAGUCACCACUGUCAUCCUCAGACAAAUAUCCCUGAUCGGCACCACCUUGUGGAUAAGCACGUCGGCCACCACAUUGGCCUUUCCUGGGUGGUAGAGGAUCUCACAGUCAUAAUCCUUUACCACAUCAAGCCACCGAUGUUGCCUCAUAUUCAAAUUUGGCUGAUCCAUGAGAUACCUCAGGCUCUUGUGGUCUGUUUAAAUCAUCCAACGAACCCCAUAGAGGUAAUGACGCCAAAUCUUGAGGGCGAACACAACAGCCCCCAGCUCCAAAUCAUGCAUCGGGUAGUUCGCCUCGUGAGGCUUCGGCUGCCUCGAAGCAUAAGAAAUGACAUGCCCUCUCUGCAUCAAUAUUGUGCCCAAACCCGAGAUGGACGUGUCACAGUACACGACGAAAUCCUCCAUGCCCUCUGGCAGGGCUAAGAUUGACGCCUCGCAGAAUCUCUGCCUCAAUGUCUCGAAUGCAGCCUACUGCUCAAUCCCCCAACAAAAGACCACGGCCUUCCUCGUUAGCCUGGUCAGGGGUACGGCUAUCUUGGAGAAAUCCUGGAUGAAUCUCUGAUAGUAGCCGUCUAAUCCUAGGAAACUCCAAAUUUCAGAUGGAGACCUCGAAACCUCCUAUCUCAUCAAAGCCUCCACUUUGGCCGGAUCCACCGAAAUGCCGUUCUGGUUGACAAGGUGCCCAAGAAACUGCACCUCGCGCAACCAGAACUCACACUUGGAGAACUUAGCAUACAAUUUCUCCCUUCUCAAAGUCUCCAGAACCUCUCGCAGAUGCUCCUCGUGCUCCUCCUGCGUCUUGGAAUAGACCAAGAUGUCAUCGAUGAAAACUAUCACAGACCGAUCGAGCAUCGGCCUGCACACACGGUUCAUGAGAUCCAUGAACGCGGCAGGAGCGUUGGUGAGCCCGAAAGGCAUCACCACAAACUCAUAGUUGUUAGAUAAGGUGUCUAAGUCCAUAACUAUUUCUGGUAUGUACUUAACCCGACCCGGCAUGGUCCAUUUGGGUUGCAUGGCAUCAUGCAUUUGGAUAAACAAAAUGAGAGAAAUAACACUUGUGGUUUAUUAAUAUAUUAUAAGUUCUAAUAUAUUACUAGUAUUAUUUAAUUAGUAUUGGUCAAGAAUUAAUUUGGAAUUAAUUAAGUGAUCAAAAAAUGACUAAUUAAAUAUAUGGGUUGAUUAUGUAAAUCAUCCAUAACUUGUAUAGUGGGCUAAAAGGCUCCAUGGAUUAUCAAGUUGGGUUAAACCCAUAGGACGCUCCAUGGAUGCUCCAUGGGAGUUACAAACCCAUGGGUCAUGGAAAUGAAGAUUCAUGACACAUUAGGGUUCACAUGGUGUAACCCUAGAUGUGUCACACUAUAUAAGGAACAUGCUAUCUACCAAAAUCGGCUACACUAAGGAAAUAAGAGGCCUAGGCCGAUUUUACAAGUGUGUGCAUUCUCUCAAAAGUCAUUCCAAAGGCAUUUGGUGUUGUGUGAAGCAUUUGAGGCAUCACACUUGGGGUGCUAGGCACAAGGUUUUCAAGGAAUCAAAUCAACUACAAGGUAUGUAAUUCUAGCCAUCCUUUUUGGAUAAAGUUCCCCAUGUAUGCUAGAUAGGAUUAUGAACAUUGGAAAUCAUAUUUUGCAUGUAUUUUAGACAAACAUAGAUCCAAGGCUUUCUAGGGUUCGAUGUACAUUUAGGGGUGUUAGAAUGCUCAAAACCCUUCAGUGGUAUCAGAGCCUAGGCUUGUUUGUGAAUACUUGAUACAAAAUAGUGUUGAAAAUCGUUUUUUUUGCUGUCUGCACAGGGGACUCGACGAGUCCAAGUGAAAAUGCAACCAACUCGGCGAGUCAGUUCGUGCACUCGAUUUGUGCACAGGGGACUCGAUUUGUGCUGUUGGAAAUGGACUAGAAACAUUACCCUAAACUGUUUUGGUGUUAUAAAACUUGUUUUAGAUGGUGUAAUGGUUGUUCUAAUCCAUUUAUAAUGGCUAAUAUCAUUUUUUUCAUGAUUAUAUGUAUUCAUAUGUUCUUGAAAUUUUGAUAUGAAUGUUCAUGUUGUUAUGAGUUCUUGAUAGAUCAUAAGAGUUACUUGUUUAUAUGAUUAAUUCAUGAUCUUUAUGUAUUUUAAUGGAGUCCAUAACUUGUCCUCAAGUUAUGGAUAACCAAAAGUCUCUUUGUGUUAAAAGCCAUUCAAAGAACACAUAAGUUAUAAAAUGAAGAGUCGUCAUUUUAAUGACUCAUAAGUUAUGAAUGUGAAAGGUUUUGUAAAGUUACAAAACUUGCCCUCAAGUUUUGGAACAUGUAAAGUCACUUAAUAAACUUCAGUUCCAACCCUUAAAUUUUAAAAGUUAAAAUUCAACCCUUAUAUUUUAUAAUAUUAUAAGGUAAUAAUAUAUAUAUAUAUAUAUAUAUAUAUNAGAAGUCAUAAGUUACACUUUUGAAGAGUUUUUCUAAUAAAUGUUUUUAUGGACUCCAUAACUUGUCCUCAAGUUAUGGAUUUCCAAGAGACUCUUCAUUAAAAGUUUUAAACACUUAAUUAAAACUCAUAAGUUAUGAAUAUCCAAAAGUUUUUGAAUUGUUCAAAACUUGUCCUCAAGUUUUGGAAUUUGUAAAGUCUCACACAAACUUUAGUUCCAUGCCCUAGAAGUUUUAAAAAAAAUUAAAAUUCAACCUUAUACUAUUAUAAGAUUAAUGGUUUAUAUAUAUAUAUAUAUAUAUAUAUAUAAGAUCAAGUCGUCUUACCGUUAGUACACCUCAUUCACGAAGCCGGUCUAUAAGGAGGGUAUAAGGUUGUUGCCUAUAAAAUGACAACUUAGUGGGUGUCCACUCUCACCCACCGCUUCCUUGAUCGGUGGAGGGUCGUUAGCCGAACGGGUAGGACAAGGACGUAUAAACUUUCAUUAAAAGUAUAAUGAAUAUUAUAAAGUAACUAAAUAUUUUAAUAAAUUCUCAAUCUUAGUUACUUUAGAAAAAGUGUGAAUAAGGUGCUAAUCCAUGAAAUUACACUUUACACUUUGUUUAAGCCAUUGGUGGAGCGUGUGUGGUUAACCGACACACUAACUUGGACUUAACAAGGUAGGUAAAGGGUGACUUAAGGUUUAUGAUAGUAUCGGUGGAGCGUGUGUGGUUAACCGGCACAUCGAUUGAGUGAUGAACUUUAAGGGUACCAAGUGAUUUGCAUGGUUACUUCACACCUCGUUUUGUGAUCCUCGAUAUCACAGUCACCAAACUUGGAGGGCACACUCGAGAUUGAAACAUGCCUUUGAAAAGUUCAUUGAAUCUCAAAAGAAUCUAGGAAUUUCUAAGAACCAAUUAAAAACCUAAUAUUUAUAUUUUGUUUUUUCGUGGUGGAAAUUGGAAGAAGUCACACUCAGCAAACUUCAGGGACUUCUCAAGACCAUAGAAACAGGUCUUAAAGGUAAGUCGGUUGUUAACACUCAUACUCCUACUCCAAACUCCGCCCCUAUCUUGGCAAUUGGGAAAGAUAGAGGGAAGAAGAGGAAGAGGUCUUCGAAGGGUACCAAGGCUAGGACCCUUGAUGGCUAUUCUUCAAGUGGAACCAAGAAAGGUUCUGUCACUCCUUCUUCUGACCCAAAAGAAGCUGAGUGCUUCUAUUGCCAUGAAAAGUCACAAUGAAAGCGGAACUGCCCAAAGUACCAGCAAGAUGUGAAGGAUGGGAAAGUUAAACCCAACCAUGCAGGUAUUUAUACUAUCUUAUCUAAUAACUCACCAUAUUCUAACUCUUGGGUCCCUGAUACCGGUUGCGGUAUUCAUAUAUGUUCUGAUCUGCAGGGACUAAGAAGAAGUGAGAAUGUGGAGCAUGGAAGAAUAAACUUAAUCAUGGGGAAUAGGAAAGCUUUACCUGUCACCAAGAUUGGAGUUUAUACUUUAUCGCUAAGUAGUGGAUUUAGUUUAGAUUUGAAUAAAUGUUGUGACUCGCCAGAAAUGGCAUGAAAUAUUAUUUCCUUUCAUGCAUUGUAUAAACAAGGUUUUACCUUUUCAUUUAAUAAUGAAGUUGGUUCGAUUAAUGCUUUCUUUAAUAAUGUCCUUUAUUUUAAAGCAUUACCUUCUGAUGGUGUGUAUGAAACUGUAUAUGUUGUAGAUAACUUAGGAAAUAAUGUAUUGUGUAUUGAUUCUGUUAAUGAUAAUAACUUCGAUAAAGUAUCAUUAUGACAUUGUCGUCUUGGACAUAUAAGCAAGAAACGCAUAGGCCAACUCCAAAAGGAUGGAGUCUUGGAAUCAUUUGACCUAAAGUCAUAUGAUAGUUGCGAAUCAUGCUUACUUGGAAAAAUGACAAAGUCACCCUUCACAGGUUCUUGUGAGAGGGGUGAAGGUUUGUUGGAUCUAGUACACACGGAUGUGUGUGGACCAUUCAAACAUGCCACAAGGGAUGCUAAUCGUUAUUAUUUGACUUUUACUGAUGAUUACAGUAGAUAUGGAUAUGUCUACUUAAUCAAGCAUAAGUCAGAGACUUUCGAAAGGUUUAAGGAAUUUAAACAGGAAGUCGAGAAUCAAUUGGGCAGGAACAUUAAGAUGCUUCGAUCCAAUCGAGGUGGUGAGUAUCUUAGUUCAGAGUUCCUUGAAUAUCUUAGGGAAUGUAGGAUUGUCUCACAAUUGACACCUCCUAGGACACCAGAGUUGAAUGGUGUGGCUGAGAGGCGUAAUCAAACCUUGUUGGAUAUGGUUCGUUCCAUGAUGAGUCGAGCAUCGCUACCAAUCUCAUUCUGGGGGGUACGCCUUAGAGAUUGCCGCCCAUAUCCUUAAUCUAGUCCCUACAAAGAAAGUUGCCAAAACUCCUCAUGAGAUGUGGACUAGUAAAGUACCAAAACUAGAUCACAUCAAGAUUUGGGGUUGCGAGGCUUUCGUGAGACACAUGACUCAUGAUAAGCUCGAACCUCGAAGUAAGAGGUGUAUUUUCAUCAGCUACCCACAGAAAUCCUUUGGUUACCUCUUCUACAGACCUAGUGAAAAUGUGGUCUUUAUAGCUAGAAUGGCUGUCUUUCGAGAAAGAGAGUUCAUAAGCCCAAGAAACAGUGGGAGGCAAGUUGACCUUGAAGAAAUUAAAAAGUCAAGUGGUGAGGGAACUUCAAUCCCUAACACUCAACUUGAGGAAGAAACUCCUGUUGAGCCAAUUGACAAGUCUGUACCUCUGAGGCAUUCCACGAGAGUUAGGAAUGCACCUGAGCAUUACUAUGGAUUCCAUAUUACUGCGGAAGGUGAAACACUUAUCAGUGAUGAGACACUGAUAGGUCUGGAUGAACCUAACAGUUACCCGGAAGCCAUGGCAGGCCCUGAGUCAGCCAAAUGGAAAGAGGCAAUGGACAGCAAGAUACAGUCCAUGUAUGACAAUCAAGUUUGGAACUUGGUUGACAAUGUACCAAAUCAUAAGACUGUAGGUUGCAAAUGGAUCUUUAAGAAGAAGACCAAGACGGAUGGUAAUGUACACACUUAUAAGGCACGACUGGUUGCAAAGGAUUUCUCUCAAACUCCAGGAGUUGAUUAUGAUGAGACCUUUUCUCUAGUAGCCAAGAUUAAGUCUAUUAGGGUUCUGUUAGCCAUCGCUGCAUUUCAUGAUUAUGAAAUAUGGCAAAUGGAUGUCAAAACCGCUUUCCUUAAUGGAAAGUUGGCUGAGGAUGUUUACAUGAGUCAGCCAGAGGGUUUUGUCAAUACAGAGUAUCCUAAUAUAGUGUGUAAGCUUGAAAAAUCCAUUUAUUGAUUAAAGCAAGCACCUCGUAGAUGGAAUCUUUGCUUUGAUGAGAAAGUCAAAGAGUUUGUCUUUUAUAGAAGCGAAGAUGAAUCUUGUGUAUAUGUCAAGGCUAGUAGGAGUAUAGUUAGCUUUUUGGUAUUGUAUAUGGAUGACAUACUGCUCAUAGGAAAUGACAUUCUAACUCUGCAGGAAGUUAAGUCCUGACUUGGGAAGUGUUUCUUUAUGAAGGACCUAGGAGAAGCUGCCUAUAUUCUAGGGAUAAGGAUCUUGAGUGACCGGAGUAAAAGACUAAUUGGACUUAGUUAGAUUACUUACUUGGAUAAGGUGCUGAAAAGGUUCAACAUGCAGGACUCCAAGUAAGGAGAGUUACCCAUCCAGAGUAACGCUAGAUUGAGUAAGACACAAAGCCCGAGCAUUGAGGCUGAGAUAGCAGAAAUGAGUCGAGUGCCUUAUGCUUUGGCUUAAAGGAUCGAUCAUGUAUGCUAUGACGUGUACUCGACCUGAUGUAGCCUUUGUUUUAAGCAUGGUUAGCAGGUAUCAGGGGAACCCUGGCAAGGCACACUGGACUACGGUAAAGAAUAUCCUCAAGUACCUACGGAGGACUAUGGACUGGGUCCUUACCCUCGGUGGGAGUGAUGACUUGAGAGUUGUAGUGUAUAGUGAUGCUAGCUUUCAGACUGAUAGGGAUAAUUUCCGCUCUCAGUCAGGCUAGGUCUUUACCUUAAACGAAGGAGCAAUUUCUUGGAAGAGUUCCAAGCAAGAAACAAUGGCUGAUUCAACUUGCGAAUCAGAGUAUAUAGCAGCAAGCGAGGCAGAAAAGGAGGCGAUAUGGCUGAAGAAAUUCAUUGGAGACCUUGGAGUUGUGCCAGCUAUAAAGGAGCCAAUGGAAAUUUUCUGUGAUAGUGAAAGUGCAGUUGCCUUAGCCAGGGAACCAAGGGAUCAUGGGAGAUCCAGACACAUUGACAGACAAUAUCAUUUCAUCAGACAUCGAAUAGAAGAAGGACUCCUCAUGGCAAAGAGGGUAUCAUCGGAUGAGAAUCCAACAGAUCCCUUCACGAAGGGACUGACUCGGGUUAAGCAUCUCCAACAUGUUCGGAUCAUAGGGCUGAAGGAUGAUAUUAGUUUUAGUAGUUAGAUAAUCUUGAAAUUCGUAAAGUCUACUUGACAUUUGAUGAUGAAUAAAAGUUGUGUUUAUUUGUGAGUAAAGUGUUCCUAUCUCUUGUCAGUCGUUUACUAUAUUUAUUUUGCAUGUUUUGACUUCCAGAAUAAUUAUGUUUGGUAUAUCAUAUUAUUCGAAUCUCCACAGUCGUUCAUAUGUUGGAAGUAGGUAUGAAUCAAGACUGUUAUGAGACAGUUGCAGAGGUCUAAGUUGUUGGACAUAGCUACAACACUCAUGAGUGUUCAUAAGUUUUGAGCAUUGGACUCAACCCGCGCUCACUGGUAUCACUUCAUGGAAUUUAUCUCGAGUGAUCGUGAGACGGUAACAUCAUAUAAGUCUUUAAACCUAGAGAUAUGAUUUGUUACCUAUGAGUUGGUUAUGCAUUGAUUGUAUGAAAACGCAUUGUUAACUCGAUGUUAUAAAACGUGCUUUUGUGUAUAAUUCAACAAGUAGUAAAGCAAACAUAUGAGUCGAAGUUUAUCUAUUCCUUCUUGGAUUAGAAGCUGAUAUCUAGGCCCAUCGAUGAUUUUGUUUUGACCUAUGUAUCGGGCCCGGUCAUAACUAAGUUGAUGUAUUCAAUUAAGUUCUAUGUCAAACAAAUCGGAAAUCGAGAAACAAAUUGUUGGACAAUAAGUAAGACAUUGUUCCAUGUAUUUCUCUAGCUGAUAUCUAGAACAGAGGAUUAUAUGAUCACUUAUCUUAAAUGGCGUAUCAUCAUCUUCUUAGUUCCGAGAGACCUUGAAACAACUACGAUUGCUGAUCGGUUCCUGAAGUCAUACUUGCAGUUAUAGUUAUCAGACUUAUCCAAGUGGGAGACUGUUGGAUAAGGUGUCUAAGUCCAUAACUAUUUCUGGUAUGUACUUGACCUGACCCGGCAUGGUCCAUUUGGGUUACAUUGCAUCAUGCAUUUGGAUAGACUAAAUGAGAGAAAUAACACUUGUGGUUUAUUAAUAUAUUAUAAGUUCUAAUAUAUUAAUAGUAUUAUUUAAUUAGUAUUGAUCAAGAAUUAAUUUGGAAUUAAUUAAGUGAUCAAAAGAUGACUAAUUAAAUAUAUGGGUUGAUUAUGUAAAUCAUCCAUAACUUGUAUAGUGGGCUAAAAGGCUCCAUGGAUUAUCAAGUUGGGUUAAACCCAUAGGAUGCUCCAUGGGAGUUACGAACCCAUGGGUCAUGGAAAUGAAGAGUCAUGACACAUUAGGGUUCACAUGGUGUAACCCUAGAUGUGUCACACUAUACAAGGAACAUGCUAUCUACCAUAAUCGGCCGAUUUUACAAGUGUGUGCAUUCUCUAAAAAGUCAUUCCAAAGGCAUUUGGUGUUGUGUGAAGCAUUUGAGGCAUCACACUUGGGGUGCUAGGCUCACAUGGUUUUCAAGGAAUCAAAUCAACUACAAGGUAUGUAAUUCUAGCCAUCCUUUUAGGAUAAAGUUCCCCAUGUAUGCUAGAUAGGAUUAUGAACCUUGGAAAUCAUAUUUUGCAUGCAUUUUAGAAAAACAUAGAUCCAAGGUUUUCUAGGGUUGCAUGUACACUUAGGGGUGUUAGAAUGCUCAAAACCCUUCAAUAGUAACCAUAAUGGGUCCGAAAGGCAGUCUUCUGCACGUCCUCCUCUCUAACCCUCAUCUGGUGAUACCCUGAACGCAAAUCAAUCUUGGAGAACCAAGACGCUCCCUGUAGCUGGUCAAAGAGGUCAUCAAUCCUCGGGAGUGGGUAACGGUUCUUCACCGUUACCUUAUUCAGAUCCCGAUAAUCUAUACACGUCCGAUGCGACCCGUCCUUAUUCUUCACAAACAGAAUUGGGGCUCCCCAGGGAGAAUCACUCGGUCUAAUGAAUCCCUUGUCUAACAGCUCCUGUAGCUGUGUAGACAACUCUUGCAUCUCAGGAGGAGCCAACCGAUACCGUGCCUUGGCUAUUAGAGCCGCACCAGGGACUAGGUCGAUCCUGAACUCCACCUAUCGCUCCGGAGGUAUCCCAAGCAACUCCUCGGGGAAUACGUCCACAAACUCUCGUACCACGGGCACAUCGCCCACCGUCGCCCUACCCGCCUCCCGGGUAUCCAUAACAUAGGCGACAUAACCUGUGCAACCCUGCUGGAGGUAGGACCUAGCCCUCGCUGCCGAACAUAAAGCUGGUCCUCAUUGUGGCCUUUCUCCCUAAACCACCAGCUCUCCCCCACUAGGGUUCCUAAUCCGCAUUGACUGUUGUGCGCAGUCACUCAAUGCCCCAUUGAGGCUCAGCCAAUCCAUACCAAUAAUAACCUUGUUCCCCCGCAAAGGUAUGGGAACCAAAUCCACCAGGUAACGUUCCUCGAAGAGCCUCAAAACACAAUCCUGGUAGACCUCUGACGCUCGUACCGACCGGUCGUCCGCAAUCUCAGCCUCUAGAGGGAAAUCCAACCUACCCGAAGACUCCGGAAACUUCUUGCUAAGUGCAAGAGAGACAAACGAUCGAGUGGCACCCGAAUCUAACAAACCCUAAACUGGGAUACCGUUCACAUGGAACGAUCCUAAGCAAGGCACAUAAUAUAUCAAAAUCAUAGCGACAUAACAUAAAAUCAUAAAAAUAAGAAAUCAUACCCAUCACCACAUCGGGUGCAGCACGUGCCUCCUCGGUUGUCAGCUGCAAUGCUCGGCUCCGAACCACUGGAGCCUCCAACUUGGCCUUCCGGACAUCCACAACCCGUGUUGUCACUGGAGUCGGCUCCCCUGCUGCUAUCAAUCUAGGGCAAUUGGCCUUUUUAUGGCCCUUCUGAUUGCAAUGAAAGCAAAUCAAGUCUGAUAUCUGGAUCGCAGGAGUAGGGGCAGUACAAUCUCUGCCAAAAUGCCCAACAUUGCCACAUUUAUAGCAGCCUAAACCCGACCCAGUGCGACAAACUCCCUCGUGUGACCGGCUGCAUUUCGCACAACGGUCCCGCCCUGACUGGCCUUUCGGCCUACCAUCGGAUCCCUUGGGCUUCUUCCUCGAAGCCCCCAUCGUCAGCCCCUCCGCUGCCUUCCUCUUUCGGAUAUGCUCCAGAUCAAUCUCCCUCUCCCUAGCCCUAGCAAUCGUUGAAUCCAAGGUAGGGCAAGCUGAGAAACUGACAUGCUCCCGGAUGUCAAAUCGUAGCAUAUCAUGGUAGCGGGUCCUCUUCAUUUCCUCAUUUCCCGCAUACUAGGGCACCAGCAAUGCCCUCUCCCGGAAGUUGGCGGUGAUCUUCGCCAUAGUCUCCGUAGUCUGCCUCAUGUCCAAGAACUCCCUCGCCAGCUGCUGAAGCUCGACAGCUGGUGCAAACUUCGCCCUGAAUCUGGUCACAAAUUCUGACUAGGUCAUAGCCUCAAUAGUCGAGGCUCCCAGAGAGUUGCCAACCGAAUCCCACCAAUCUCUGGCCCUAUCUCUCAAACACCAUGCAGCGAAACAGACCUUCGACCCUUCCGGGCAUAAGCUCGUCAGUUGCGCAGACUCGAUGUCUGCGAUCCAUCUCUUAGCAACAAUGGGGUCUUUCACCCCCAUGGAAAUUCGACACACCACUCCGUCUGAAGUCCUUAAAGGACACUGUGUGUGAUCCUCACUAGCUGGCCGCCAUGUCACUCCUGAACGCCCUGAGGCGAUCCUCCAUCAGCUCAAUGAUCCCUUCCUUUAUCGACCCGAAAAUAACCGGUGUCACAUCAAGGAUACCUCUCGUGAUCUCGUACACGAUGAACUCGCGUAACCUAUCAUCCACAUGCUCGGAUCCUGCGCCCGAGCCCGGUCCUGACCCAGAUCCUGAACCUCCUACUCCAUGCCGCGUGACCACCAUUCUGAAAAUAAACAUCCGAAUGUCAGGGUUACAUAUACCUUUCGGAGGUAUCGCACACUUUCCAAGUUUCCAGGUUCCAUCUAAGCCCUCCUUGAUUGGAGUACGGGUCCUCUGCUUUUAGUAGUAUGGGUCCAUACUACCUUCCACAUCUACCCAUACUUUCCUCAAGGAUUAAUUUAACUUCACCAAGUCCCUUUUUCCGAUACCCUUUCCACUGACCUCAUCCUAGGCUUCCCUAGGGCACUCUCCGACCUACCCUCAGCCAUCAGCUGCACUAGGAGUCCCCACCAUUCCCCCUAACUAACUUGUAGAUACUAUUACAUAUUCGUUCCUUAGCUAGUUGAAAAUGGCCAGAACCCCCAUCGCAUAAAGCAAGUAGCAUUCGUGCAUUGGGUAACCAAAUCAGGCAUAACCUACAAAGGCCAUCCUACUACUAACUAAACAGACCUAGCAUACAGCUCAUACAACAAGCAUAUAAGGCAUCCUUCCUAGACCCUUAGCCCUAACUAGCAUGCAGUUCUUAGAAUCAAAUAUCAGGCACACAAGGCAUCCUCCUAGAUCCUUAGUCCUAUUUUAGCAUGCAGUUUUCUGAAUCAAAACCAUAUAGCAUAACAUAACAAGUAUGGGUAUCUUGGGGAAACUUACAUGAGCCCGGCUAGUCGCAUGCAUCACAUACUUCGUCUUUCUUAAAAUCCUUCCAUCUAGAUUUUAGAAAACCAUUUCUCUGUCUAAAAAUCUUUUAGGCCCUCGAUUUGAGUCCAGACACCCCCGAGGGUGUGUCCGAAUCCCUCAAACUAGGGUUCUGAUACCAACUUGUAACACCCCAAAAUUCAAGCCCAAAAAUUUCAUAUUUAAAUUAAUAAUUUCUAAAACAUUUUACCAUAACACUGUCAAUAAAGAAACACAUUACAAAAUCAUAAUGUUGUGCCCCAAACCAUGACAUCAAAAAUAAGGAAAAUCAGAGUAGAAUCCUAGAAAGUCCGAUGCGGAAUCAUGUGUGUGUGUGUGUGAUGCGAUGCUACGCCGCCGACUCCUUCCACUUAGAUGAAGAGGUACCUGAAACCAAAACUGAAACCGUAAGCACAAAGCUUAGUGAGUUCCCCCAUCAUACCACAUACCAUACAAUAUCCUCAGUAUCUUUCAACCGAUAACUUCCAUCGGUAUCUUUCAACCGGUAACCGUCGUCGGUAUCUUUUAACCGGUAAUCAUCAUCAGUAUCUUUCAACCGGUAAUCGUCAUCGGUAUCCUUCAACCGGUAACUAUCAUCGGUAUCUUUCAACUGGUAACUGAGGACUAUUCCACCCCCUACCACUAGCAUACCAUAACAAGAUAUAAACAUAUAGUCAGGCAUAUCCGGGUAAUGACCUACCCUGCGGUCCUAAGGACCGCUGUCAGGGAAACUAAUCCCUAUUAAACACAUAGCAUAUCAUUCAGAUUAAACUAAUGACCAAAGCACAUAUCCAGACCAAGAUAAUUAUCACAAAGACAAUCAUCUUCUAAAUACUCCUCUUUGGUGGGCUGGCAUUGUGGCCUUAGACCCACCCCUACUGGAAGGUAACUCACCUCGUACACGUAGCUGCUGAUAAUCUGUGCGGGAAACCUUUGUCUGCUGUUGCUCCGGAAAUCCUCCGGCUAUAAUCCCCACAGAACACUCAGUCAGAAACUGAUAUCUACUCUUAGGGUAAAAUGACUAUUUUACCCCCGACCAAGUCCAAGUCAAAGUCAACUUCCAGUUGACCAGACUCGCCAAGUUGGGCCGUCAACUCGUCGAGUCCCUUUCCUUUAGUCGUCCUUAUCCACGACUCGACUCGUCGAGUUUGGCAGCGACUCGAUGAGUUCCCCUCCUUUACGAACAUUAAUGAAGCUUCAUCUGACUCGCCGAGUCGUUUGAACACUCGUCGAGUUCAUCUUCAAACAUAAGAAGAUUGCCUUGGACUCGCCGAGUCUGUUCUAGCACUCGUCGAGUCCCAUGAACUCCAGGUCUAAAACUAAGUCCAAUGCGUUGGGUUACUCUUUCUGUCCAUCUACAACCCUUCAAGCACCUAACUGAGUCCUUUGACCCUCACAGAUAUGGGACUCAAAGCCUUGGACUCGUCGAGUCCCUAGAAUGGACUCACCGAGUCGAUAACGUCCACACCUUAAAUCCUUGAUUUCUGAUGUACAACACUUUUCCAAAUGAUAGAUCUAAGCCCCUAAGCUCGAUCUAGAACAUAAAGUUAUGAACUUUACAUGCAUGUAUGGGACUUUUGAGCCAAAAAGGCUCUAUAAUGGCUCUUUUGUUGCAUGGGGCCUUCCUUGGGUGCAAAAGCAACCCAAAUCUGCCUUGUGACUCUCUCCAAGUGCUAGAUCUGAAGUCUUGACCCCCAACUAUGUUUUCAAUCAUGGUUGGAUACCUCAUAUGGCUUAAAAAGCCCUAAAUCCUUCCCAGGAAGGGAUCUAACAAACAAGCAAGCAAGGUACAGACUUUAUACCUUUCAAAGAUUGCAAAUGAGGAACCAAACUCGAAUCCUUCAGUAUCCUCUUGAUCCUUCUAUGCUCUUCCUUCUUCCUUGAGGUCAAAAACCUCAAAAAUCACUCAAAAGCCUUAGAUUUUGCACCAAAACACUUAAGGUUUGCUUGGGAGGGCUUCUAGGAGCAUAAAGGGGCGAUGGAGGAUGUAUAAGGUUGUUUAAAUAGGGUGCAAACCCUCAGAUUAGGGUUUUGUCCAGUCAGAUCCUACUCGUCGUGUCCGGGACCCGACUCGACGAGUCCAUCACUUAAAUCCGACGUCUCAUCUCACUUCUACUCGGCGAGUUAGGCCUUCAACACGCCGAGUCCCAGACCAAAAAUGCAAAAUUACUUAAAUCAAAUACAUACCUGGAAUCAGGUGCUACACUACUUUCAUAUAAUUGGUUAACUAUUUUGAUAGUUUAUGUAUAUUUGCUAGGAUACAUUUAUUAUAACAAGUAUUUGGAGACCGUUGCAUGGAACUCUAGUUUUGAGGUUCUUAUAUGAAGAUGUUUUUAUUGUGCAUGAUCAGAUUGGUCAUCACGAUUUUGUAUAUUCUAUUUUAUAGAGGCUUGUUAGUUAAACUUUAAGUUUUGUUUUUAAUCUUAUAUGGUAAAACCAUUAGGUGAUACUUAAGGUUUCAGAUCAUGGUUGCUUAUUUGUCAGUAACAAAUGAGUUGUUUGUUAGAUUUGGAGCAACAUGGAUUUGUUAUGUUGAUGCAUUAUCCUUAGUGAAUGUUUGCGUUUCACAUUUAUUUUGGAUACUUAAGGAUUACACUUGAUAGGAGUAUUUCAUAUUUGCUAGUGUUUGUUGCUCAACUUAAGAAUGGAAACAUCCAUAUAAAUUUUAAACCUAUUCUGUUUUCUAUGUAGAAAGAAAAAAAUUUGUCAUUGAAGAAUGUUCAUCCAAAGUAUUUUCACCAAACAGUUUGAAAGUUGUCCAAUUUGGUUCAACCAUAUGAUACCAAAAGGUAUUUGUCCACAAAGCAUUUGGUUGAAAGAUAUUUAGGUUAAAAGACAUUUGAGGUAGAUAUGGUUAAAGUUUAAUUUUUUUACAUUCAUAAUGUAUGUCAUUUGUGUCGCUCCAAAUAUUUUAGGAUAAAGAGGGAUAAAGAGAAAGUAUUUUCCAGGGAUAGUUAUUCAUGCUAUGUAAUGUUUGAACAUAACUUAUUAUAGUUUGGAUCUUAUUUUAAACUUUAGGUUGUGGGUAUUUUGGUAUCAAAGUGAAUUAUUGUAAUUGAAAGUUGCAAGGAUAAAGAAGGAAGACGUCAGGUGUCAUGUCACUCUGUUACAUUUGCAUAACCCUCGACCACAGUGGAUAGACUUUGGACCUGAAGGUCAUGUAACCUCAUCGAAGUUGCAUAUGUCAUGAGUUUUGUAUGGCCUCGUUAUGAUGGGUUCUAAUGUUGUUUAUUUGCAUUGUGAUUGGCUUUAUGACAUGUUCAUGAUGACCUCUAAAACAUAUAUAAGAUUUUGGGCACUUUGAACACCCUCCGCAUCUAGUGUCGAUUUUGCAAUUUACAAUCAAGGGUUUAAAUCGAACCUCUAACAUCCAAUUAUCCUAAUAUUGGCUCCCCUCCAGUCCCGAUUCUCCAUAGCGAUCAAUUUUGAUGAUUAUGUAUUUAUUUCUUCAUUUUAUUAUUUUAAUUUGUAAGUGGGUUUUAAUUCUUGUUUAUUUGUUAAUUGAAAAUACAAGUCGUCAUUCCUAUAGAUGUAUACAAUUUUCUUAAUGAUGAAACCAUCCUAAAUAUUGGAGUCUCAUAUUCUUAGUUGUUUGUCAUUUAUAUUUUAUAUAUCUUAGCAUGUGUUGUUCUAUUUAUUAAACAUUUUUUCCUAUUUUUGCAUCCUUCAUCGCUAUCUGUUAUGUUUAUUGGAUUUUACCCUUGUUUUCUCACAUCAUAAAAUCCCCAACAUAUUAGUAAUACAAAUGUAUAUAAUUGGAAAACAAGAUUAUUCAUUGUUAGAGUUUUUGGGAUGAAGGGUUGGUUCUGUAACAUCCCAAAAACACGGUCCAAAAUUUUCAUUUUUAAUUAUUAAAUAAAGUCAUAGUUAUCAAACCAUUCCAUCAAAACAUGACUCAAAGUAUUUCAAAACAUUAUUAUAAGAGUUUCCAAAUCAAAACAUCAGAGUAAACAUCACAGGCUAGACAUUAUGGUGUGUGCAAUGUAGUCAUCCCGAGCUCUUUUCUUUGCAAUUGGAAGUACCUGAAACCAAAACUGAAAACCGUAAGGACGAACCUUAGUGAGUUCCUCAUACUACGACAUACCAUACACAUAAUCAUAUAUACUGGGCCCCCGCCCCUACAUCAGGCCCCUCCCGACAUCGGACAGUGUCCGACAUCUGGCCCCGCCAGACAUCGAGUCCCACUCGAUAUACAAAUCUGUUUCUCCCAGGCCCCGCUUGUCAUUGGGCCCUGCCCGCUAUACAUAUACAAACAAUAUCAUAUAAUCUUGCUAGAAUAUAAAGAAUCAUACACAGUACUACAUGUUCCAGUCCUAAGGCCUCACCUAUCAUGAGCCCCGUCCCUACUCUGCCAAUGAUGAGAUAUGGAACCCCGUCCACACUCAGUUAGUGAUGAGAUAUGGGACCCCGCCCACACUCACCUCCCGUACCACCUGGCAUCGAACCGUAGUCCGGAAACAUACUUGGGGUGAAAUGAGCGUUUCACCCCUGGCCCAACAAGAUUCAUAACCAAGGCAUAAAACUAUCAAAUCCAUAAAAACCCAUCAAUGGCCCAAUUUUCCAAUUUGGGCCCAAACCCUUACAUGGGCCUUUCCCUAAAGCCUAUUUACUUUUCUGAACUAAUGAUUUUCCGAUGGCCCGAAGGUCCAAGCUCAUUCCACCUAAUCAAGGCCUAACUACAUUAGGCCCAUUAAGGCCCAAUUCAUCAUCCAAGGCCCAUUAGGGCAAGCCCAGCAAGCAAGCCUAACCAGAAGUCCAUUACUCUAAAAUACUUAGUCCAUUAUGAGCCCAAACCAAAGGAUAAGUCCAAUACCCAGCUAGCCAACAACCAAAGAGCCCAAAAGGUGCACAGAUGAUGCUCACGUUGUGAUCACCUUAUGCUCACGUCGUGAGGUCGUGACUUUAGCCUAGAAACUUCCUCGAACACGCUCUCAUGUUAUGAGGCUUCAUUCCUCACAUCGUGAGUCCAGAUCUGACCAAAAAUGAGCAUUAAGCUCCUAAUCCAUUAAGCAUUAACAUGGGAUAGUCUAGAGGGUCUUCCUUGACCCCAAGGACCAUAAAAAUCGAAGCUUUUCAGUCACAUAUGUCUAAUACAUGACUUACACCAACUUAGGUCAAAAUGAAGGAAAAAGGGCCAAGACUCAAACUUGGAGUCCAAAACCAUGACCAAAGUCCAGAUCUAGAACUUAUAGGACUUAAGGUACCAACAUAAUCCAUAAACUUGCCAACUUUAUGGAUUCCAUGCAUGCUAACCAACAUUACAAGCCAUAAAAUGCAUGGAAACAUAGAUCUAGCAAGCAAGGAAAGGAAAUGCAUGAGCUUGAGGACUUACAAAGGUCCAAAAGCUCCUCAACUAGCUGAUGAUGAAGCCAAGAUGCUAACAAACGCACCACCAAUGAUCUUCUUCUUCCUCAAAGGGCUUCAAAGCUUCAAAAUCUCUUGAAUAAUACCACGAAUGAACAACGACUUCAAUGGGGGAUGAGAUUAGGGUUUCCAGAGGUCUUGGGAGUGAAAGAGGCGAGGAGAAGAACUUCAUGCUCACGUCGUGAGCCUUAAAUGAGCUUGGUCAACAAGUCAACGAUCACUCACCCGAACUACUCCAACUUCAAACGACCAUAACUUCUUCGUUUCAACUAUGUUUUUAACGUUCUUUAUAUCCACAGAAAGGUGACGAAAAGCUCUACACGUCUAUAAAAUUAUCCUCACCUCAAAACCUUUCGAACGAAAAUCCAAAAUUCAUAAAGAGCUCGAACUGCCACUUUACCAAUAUACCCCUUAGCUCCAAGGCACAACCCAAACUCUCGGAUCACCUCAAUUACAUUAUCCGUACCUAAAUGGGUCUAGAUCUCUCUAUUGCCAAAGACCCUAAGCCUUAUGAUAACCCAUAUUCAAGUCAUAUUCCCAAAUUAGGAAAGCGAUUCGAAACAGGGUGUUACAGGUUCUGAUUCAAGGGGUAUUUGGAUCUACAUGAAGGAUCGUGUGAUCAAUUUCCAAAUAUAAUAUUUCGAUCCAUUGGAUGGGUAUCACAAAAUCCAAAUUAUGGGGAUAAUUAUUUAAGGAACAACUUUUUAUCAACACCCUAAUAAAGAAUUACGAAUUAUGGAAUUUCAUAGAAUUAAAAUACUUCUCGCUACCAAAAAUAAAAUCAAAAUCAACAGGAAAUGAUUUUUUUUUUCUAUAAGUUAAAGAUGUCGGUUUCAAAGAACUUAUUAAAAAAUAUAAUCUAAAAUCAACAUUUCUAAUAAUACAUUCCUUCGUAAAAUUAAUUUUCAGGCAAUGACACUACCCCGCACCAAGUAAGGAGCCCAUUUUGAACCUUGAGAUGACGAGAUCCUCGCUAGAGAUCUACUUUUAACACUCUACUUGGUAUGUAACCCCUUUAACCCCACUAUUUGAUUGUAUUGACAUGAAACUCAUUUUACACGAUUAUGCAUUCCAAAUGUCCUACUUUAUAGAUAAAAUCAAUAGUUCAAUUUUAUUAAAAAUCUUUAGAUUUCAUUGUACAAAAAUAAUAAUAUGACAUUAGAAUAAUCAGAAUUAAUAAAAUGAGAAAUAACAGGGUGUAAACCAUACGCGUAAAAAAGAUGAAGGAGCGGUUUUGUAAUCGACCAAAAUAGAAUUAUUAUCGGAAAUUGGUAUCGGAUCCGUUAUGUGUCUUUUUCCUAUUAUUAAGGAGCAUAUUUUAAUGUUCUAUUUAUAUGUGGUGAGAAAAACACGCUGAGGACAUAUCGGUACUUGCAACUCACCGACACUUCUCUUUGAAGGACUAGANNNNNNNNNNNNNNNNNNNNNNNNNNNNNNNNNNNNNNNNNNNNNNNNNNNNNNNNNNNNNNNNNNNCGGAAAUUAUAAAAGAAUAUACAUGUGUUUUCGAACAAAACAUGUUUCUUAAACAAUGCUAAUUAUUAACUUAAUAUAUACACAAAAACAUAGUUUUUUUUUUUUUUAAUUUUUAAAGACCUAUUUUUAUCGAAAAAUAAUUUUUAAUAUAUCAGAAUUCAUAACUUUUUAUUCUCUAUAAACAGACAUCCAUACUGUUAUAGUUUUAAAAUAAAUUAUUUUUUUUAUAGUUUCAACUAUCGUUAUUCAUAAGUGAAUAAAAAUGUAUCUGAUUUUUACUAUAGUACAUUCGUUAUUCAUUUAUGAAUAAAAAAAUAUGAUUAAUUUUUUUUUUUUACAGUUUAAGUAUCAUUUAUACUACUUAUUCAUAUAUAAAUAACAAAUUAACUGUAACAAAAAUCUAAUAAAUGUUCUAUUCAUAUAUUAAUAUAAAAUAUGACGUAACUAAUACAUAUUUAAUUCAUAUAUAUAUAUAUAAUAUAUGAUGAAAGACGAUGUAAAAAUAUAUUUUAAGUAAGAAAACUUUAUUACAUGUUAUAUUCAUAUAUUAACGAUACUCAAACUAUAAAAAAGUUAAGCAUACGUUUUAUUUAUAAUUGAAUAAAGAAUGUACUGUAAUAAAAAUCUGAUGAAUUUUUAUUCACUUACGUAUAAAGAGAGCUGAAACUUUAAAAAAAAAUAUUUUAAAACUAUAUAAUAUGGAUGUCUAUUUAUAGAGAAUAAAAAAUUAUGAAUUUUGAUAUAUUUAAAAUAAUUUUCGAUAAAAAUAGAUUUCUAAAAAAAACAUAUUCAUUUAAUUUUCAUAAAAACAUCAAUGUUUAAAAUUCCAAUCCAUGUGAUACAAAAUCCCAAGAUCACAUAUCAUAAAAAUCCCAUGUGUGUGUANACUCGAGGCUAUAACUUUGUGGGUCCGUAGACCCUACUAUGUGAACCCUCUGGUUCUAACUCUAGGAACCUUCCGGUUCCAACUCUAUAAACAUGCACAACAUAAAUCACAUAGAAAUAAUGCAGUACAACACAUAACAUACAUAUAGCAUACAAAUACUCUGUCACAUAACUCUGAUUACCUACUCAAGGUAAAGUAUAGUGAGAAGACUCACCUCGCGUAUCUCGAUCACUCGCAAAUCCCGGAAAUCACUCGCGCUCGAUCCUCCGAGCUAUAAUCCUCCUAUAACACAAUAUAUCUCUAAUUAACACAUUCUCAACUAAGGUUGACUACCCCUAUCAAGUCAACACUGGUCAACUCUGGUCAACGGUCAACGACCACUUUGACCGGACUCGGCGAGUGCACUAGAGCGACUCGGCGAGUCUAAACGUGUUCACUGACUCCCUAGGAUCCUCUUUUGACACGUCGAGUACUUCCCUGACUCGACGAGUUCCACCUGGCAUGAAUCGCGGGGCCACCACGACUCAACUCGCCGAGUCUCAAGAACAACUCGGCGAGUUCCAGCUCGACUCAGUCCACCUGUCAACCCUCUCUAACUCUCCCUGACUCACUGAGUCAACCCUUAACUCGGCAAGACCACUCGCUGAGUGGUUAAGGACAAUCUUCAUGCUACUCGCCGAGUCUGUUCUUCGGACUCGGCGAGUCCAUGCCAUGCAUCAACUCAAUCUCGCUUCUGAGGUCAGAUCCGCUCCAACAACUCAUAGAUCUGGCCCUCCCAAGCACAUUCAUCACGUAAAGUCACAAUCUUGGCUACCAUGCAACGCCUACAAGGCUUCUUUUGAUGAAAUGACAUCUAAAAUGGUAACCUAAGUCUCCAACUCAAAAGGAAAGGCAUAAAGCAUGGCAUUUGGGACUCUCUGGACCUACUAAGGUCCAGAUCUAGGUACCAUUUCCCCAUGGGACCUCUCACACUCCAAAUACAAGGCAAACAAGGCAUGAAGAAACCCUAGAUUUGACCAUAUCAAGAAAAACACGAGAAUAAGCUCUGAAUGUUACCUCAAAUAGCUUCUUCUGCCGAAAUGGGAGUAGAUCCAAGCUCCCCAACUCUCCUAGUUUGGCCUUCCUCUUCCUUUCUUGCAAAUACACACAAAAAUGAUGAAUAAUGGCCUCUUAUCUCACUCACAAGAACUCUCAGCUGCUCUGGUGCUCUCAAGGUCGAAGGUAGCCGCAAUGAAGGGCCAUAAGGUCCUUUAAAUAGGGCUCAGGACCGGGAAAUUAGGGUUUCAUUAAACAGCGCGGACUCGCCGAGUCCAGGCGCGAACCCGCGUCCAAAACCGCGAUCCUACUCGGCGAGUUUGAGCUCCAACUCGCCGAGUCCCCUCACAAAACACCAAAGAUAUAUGAAUAAAUAAUACCUGGGAAUCCGGGCUGUUACAAUUCUCCCCCACUAGAACUAGACUUCGCCCUCGAAGUCUCGCUCUGCAAAUAACUCUGGAUGCUGCUCACGCAUCUCACGCUCCGGUUCCCAAGUCAUCUCGGACCCCUUCCGAUGUUGCCACUGAACCAAAACCAAGGGUACCUCCUUGUUCCUCAGAACCUUGAUUUUCCGAUCUCUGAUGGCCACUGGUCUCUCAGCAUAAUUCAGGCUCGCAUCCACCUGAAUAUCCUCUAAUGGAACCACUGCCGACUCAUCGGCUAUACACUUCCUCAGCUGCGACACAUGAAAAGUGUCGUGAAUCUGCCCCAACUCUGCUGGCAAAUCCAAACGAUAGGCUACCCGGCCUACCCUCGCGAUCACUCGGAAAGGACCAAUAUAUCGGGGCCCCAACUUGCCCCUCUUCCUGAAUCGAAUCACUCCUUUCCAAGGAGAGACCUUCAGGAGUACAAGGUCGCCGACCUGAAACUCAAGCUCGGACCGGCGUCUGUCUGCAUAACUCUUCUGUCGGCUCUGAGCGGUCAACAACCUCUGUCUGACCUGCUGGAUCUGCUCUGUCGUCUGAAGCACGAUCUCUGUACUGCCCGUCACCCGCUGUCCAACCUCUCCCCAACAAAUGGGGGUCCGACACCUCCUCCCAUACAACAGCUCAAAGGGCGGCAUACCAAUGCUCGAAUGAUGGCUGUUGUUGUAGGAAAACUCUGCCAAUGGCAAAUAUGCAUCCAAGCUACCCCAGAAAUCCAACACACAUGCCCGGAGCAUGUUCUCGAGCGUCUAAAUCGUCCGCUCACUCUGACCGUCUGUCUGGGGAUGAUAUGCGGUACUAAAAUGCAGUCUAGUACCCAACUCCUCAUGAAACUUCUUCCAGAAUCUGGAAGUGAAGCGCACAUCACGGUCUGAAACAAUCGAGAUCGGCACCCCAUGCCGAGAUACCACUUCCCUCACAUACACCUCCGCCAAUUUCUCUGCUGNGCUUCCACACUAUUGGGGCUAAGCUCUUAAAGCUUGAAGACAUCAAGCUACAUCAAGAGGUAUGUAUUCUAUCUUGUUACAUUCAUAGUUUUUGUAUGCUAGAUUAGGAUAAUACCUUGGAUGUUCUUAUUUGCAUGUAUAAUAGAGAAAACAUAGAUCCAAGGUAUUUAGGGUUGCAUGUACACUUAGGAAGUGUUAGAAUGCUCAAAACCCAACACUUACCAGGUCUUCAGCCAAUCUGGACCACUCUCAAAACCUUCAACCAAUCUGGACCGCCCUACAGGGCCUUCAGUGUGGAUGGAUCGUUACCCGAGCCUUCGGCCUGACUGGUACGCCUACCGGCCUUCAGUCUAUCCGGACCGCUCGACUAGCAUCCAUCAUCCCGAGUUAUCUCUCUGGGAAAAUAGAAACCAAACCAACAACCCGCACUUUCUUCUGCAUCUCAGGUUGCACAACCUUCGCCUGUGCCCCACGAAUGGCGUCCAACACUGGAGCUACAACGGUCAAUCUCAAACAUACAUCCCGCAUCGGGGUGCUCUCCGCCCUGCUGCUCAGUGCAUCGGCUACAACAUUAGCCUUGCCCGGGUAGUACAUGAUCUCACAAUCAUAAUCCUUGACCACAUCCAACCACCUCCUCUGUCGCAUAUUUAGGUUGGGCUGAUCCAUCAAAUACUUCAAACUCUUAUGGUCCGUGUAUAUCGUACACCGAACCCCAUACAAGUAGUGACGCCAAAUCUUGAGGGCGAACACCACUGCCCCCAACUCUAGAUCAUGGGUGGGAUAUCUCGUCUCAUGAGGCUUCAGCUGCCUCGAUGCAUAUGCUAUCACAUGCCCUCUCUGCAUCAGCACCGCUCCCAACCCCAAAAUCGAUGCAUCACAGUAUACCACAAAGUCCUCCAUCCCUUCCGGGAGGGCUAACACCGGGGCUUCGCACAACCUUUGGCGAAGUGUCUCAAAGGAGGCCUGCUGCUCGGGGCCCCAUGAAAAAGCAACACCCUUCCGGGUCAAUCUGGUGAGUGGCACUGCGAUCUUAGAGAAAUCCUUGAUAAACCUCCGAUAAUACCCUGCCAACCCUAGGAAACUCCUGAUCUCGGAGGGUGACUUCGGCACCUCCCAACUCAUCACCGCCUCAACCUUGGCCGGAUCGACCAAUAUCCCUUCCUGGUUAACGAGAUGUCCUAAGAACUGGACCUCCCACAACCAGAAGUCACACUUGGAGAAUUUGGAUAAAGCCUCUCCGAUCUCAGAACUCUGAGAACCUCCUUCAAAUGCUCCUCAUGCUGCUCUCUAGAUCUCGAAUAUACCAGAAUGUCGUCGAUAAAUACAAUCACCGACCGAUCCAGCAUCGGCCUGCACACUCGGUUCAUGAGAUCCAUGAACACUGCCGGGGCAUUGGUGAGCCCGAAAGGCAUCACCACAAACUCAUAAUGCCCAUAACGCGUCCUGAACGCUGUCUUCUGGACGUCCUCAUCCCGCACCCUCACCUGAUGAUAUCCAGACCUCAAAUCGAUCUUGGAGAACCAAGAUGCUCCCUGCAACUGAUCGAAUAAAUCGUCGAUCCUCGGCAACGGGUAACGGUUCUUGACCGUCAGCUUGUUCAACUCCCGGUAAUCAAUGCACAUCCGGUGUGAACCAUCCUUCUUCUUGACGAACAGGAUAGGUGCUCCCCACGGCGAGCUGCUCGGCCGAAUAAACCCCUUCCCCAGCAGCUCCUGAAGCUGCGAGGAUAACUCUUGCAUCUCUGGAGGUGCAAGGCGAUAAGGCACCUUGGCGAUAGGCGCGGCCCCUGGAACCAAAUCGAUACUGAACUCCACUUGCCUCACAGGAGGCACACCCGACAACUCCUCGGGAAAUACAUCCGGGAACUCACGCACCACCGGAACCUCCUCAACUGAACUCGGCCUCUCGGAAUCCACCCGCGUAUCCAUCACAUACGCCACAAAACCCUUACAGCCCUGCUGUAGACACUGCCUCGCCCUAGCGGCCGAACAAAACGCUGAUCCUGAACGUGUACCCUCGCCGUACACCGAAAGAACUCCCCCACUAGGGUCUCGUAUGGUCACCAGCUGUCGCUCGCAGUCGAUAACCGCACCGAAUCUGCUCAACCAGUCCAUGCCCACAAUGACACAGACAUCACCCAUCGCAAUAGGAACCAGAUCAAUCGGGAACUCAACACCGAAAAUCUCGACUACGCACCCUCGGAGAACCUCCGUGGCAUAUAUCACCCUCUCAUCAGCUAUGGAAACUCUCAGAGGCCGACUCAACGCCUCACGACUAACACUGAUAUGCUGACUAAAAGCCAAAGAUACAAAAGACCGACUCGCACCCGAGUCAAAUAACACCAAGGCAGGUACAGAAUUCACAAGAAAAGUACCUACGCAUAACAUAACAUAAGCAUAAUAUCUCAACAUCAAAAUAAAUACAUGAAAGAAUACAUACCAGCCACGACAUCGGGCGCUGCGCGGACCUCCUCCGCGGUCAGCUGAAAGGCUCUCCCUCGUGCCCUCGGCGCCUCGGCCUUCACUGGCCGACUCUCGGUAGCUCUGAUGGCGGCAGGGGCAGAUCCCUGAGGUGCUCCCUGAGAUGACCCUCGCAACUGCGGACACUCUGCCUUCCGGUGUCCGGUCUGAUUGCAGUGGAAGCACACUGCAAACCCCUUGGGGCAAUCCUUGGCCAUAUGCCCCUCCUUGCCACAUUUGUAGCAAGAUCCCGCUCUGCAGACUCCAUCGUGACCCUUGCCACACUUCCCACAAGUGCGGCCCUUCUGGCUCCCUGGUUUGGGAUCAGCGGGCUUGGCCCGCUUGGCUGCCGGCUGAGACUGUGCCGGUCGCCGAUCCCUCCCCUGAGACUCCGCCUCCUCCCUGGCCUGAGUCUCUAGCUCAAUCUCCCUCUUCCAGGCAUUUGCCUGAAGCUCGGAAAAUGUCCGGUAUGAAGAGUUCGCCGCGAACUCUCGAAUGUCUCUCCUCAAAAUACUCAGAUAUUGGCUCAUGCGUGCCUGCUCAGUGGACACAUGCUCAGGGCAGAACAUCACCCUCUCAUGGAAUAUCCUGGUAAUCGCCAUAACAGACUCAGUACCCUGCUUGAGGGUCAGAAACUCAUGGGCCAAACGCUCCCUCUCCACCUGGGGAACGUACUCAUCUCGGAACAUGGCAGUGACCCUCUCCCAGGUCACUACCGCAAGCUCAACAGGCGUAAAGUGCGCCGUCACAAACUUCCACCAGUCCUUCGCUCCUAAGCGAAGCUGGUUCAACACGAACCGNUCAAAUGCUCAGGAGAUGAGCAAGUGAAGAAACACCCCUCUAUGUCAGAAAUCCAUCUCAUAGCCGCCACCGGGUCCUGGGUCCCAUCAAACUCUGGCGGUUUUGUGUUGCUGAACUCUCGGAGCAGCAACACAUCACCACUCUGCAGCCUCGCGGCAGCAAUAGCUGCGGUGACCGCUGCAACAACAGCCUCAGAAAGAGCGGCAUAACGCUCGUCAAAGGUCUCGAUCAGCAUGGUCUUAAUAGACCCGAACAUCUCUGGUAUCUCUACCCUGAUGGCCGUAGCCACCUCCUCAUGGAUGAUCCGGCGGAUCUCCUCAUCACUGGUCUCACUGCUCUCAGGCAUCAGACGUGUCCUCACCAUGAUCUACCUCUGAAAUACAACAUACGAUAAAUUAGAAUCCAUUCGAGCAUACUCAUACUCGACAACUCAUCCCUCCUUGAUCCUUGGUAUUCCAAAGAUUCCUACUUGGGCUGUACACCGCUCCGGUGCUUUCAGUAGUACGGGCCCAAUACUACUGUCCGCACCAUAUCAGAAUACACCCCAAGUCCUCCUCUUCGGAUCCCAAAUUCCAAGUACUCUAUCAUGCAUAGACCACUCUCUAAUAGAUCUCUCAUAAGCCCCUCGCUGCUACCUACUCACUCUCAAGCAUCUCAUAGCAGCUCACCUCUCCCUAGGCUAAGGCAUCACAAAUUAGGCCACUCUAGUCCUAAUAGGAGUACCUAGCCUACUCUAGCAUGAGAAUACAUCAUAUCAAUAUCAAUAUCACAUAACAUGAGGGUAUUUUGGGAAAUCACCGUUCGGGCGCGGACUGAUCGUACACACAACUCUGCUCUACGUUUUUCCAAAAAUCUUUUACUCUUUUUGUAAAUACCUUUCAAAUCCUCAGUUUGAGUUCAAAUACGCCCGAAGGUGUACUCGAAUCCCUCAAACCAAGGCUCUGAUACCAACGUGUAACACCGUGAAUUUCAAAAUAAUU
rnacentral:lncRNA from 1 species